AUUAUUCUGUCUGCACGUUUCUUGUUUAGAUAUUGGCUCCUGCGUGUUUCUUUUAUUUAUCUAUUUAGUUCUUUCUUUUUAUUGAAAUGCUAGCCUAGGGUGUGCCUGACAAAAGUUUUGACAUGGGGAAUGGCGGGGUUUGCACGGUGGCUCACAAAUCACAAGUUCUUUGAUAGGUUCCACUAAUUGUCUUGUAUGUUCUUUUCAGUUUUUUUUCUUUUCUUUGAAACUGAUCGACAAGCUUCUAACCUCUUGCGUUCCACUGCUAAUUAUCACUUCUCAAGUCUUGCAGACAGUUCUUUUUACAAUUCUCCCUUGCAUGGAUGUAUGUUUAGCAGGUUCUGAAGACAUGCAUCAGAGAGGUUUCUAACACUGUUUGUUUCUUUUUCACACAUUCCCAUGUUAAUUUAGACAUGUUGAAAUCUAAAUGAGUCGCUUCCCUAAGUCCAUUUUGAGAAAUACAAGUGCAAAUCAUUUGAAAAAAAAGGAAUACAGGUGAAUACAAUUACAAUGUAGGCGGUGAAUAUUCCAGUCUAAAUGAGGCACACACAGUGUCAGAAUUGGGGUUUAAUCGUUGCUGGGCUGGAGGUACAACAACCUCCUAACCAUUGGAUCUUGAUAUCCAACUACCUGCUGGUUCUUGAUAUUUAGGACAUGUUUGGUUCAUGACUAAUUUGCCACAACUAACCUUAAGCAAACUGUGGCCACCACACAAAGUGUGUCAAACAAAAUGGCUACCGGGAGUGUAUCUUGUUGUUUGGAAAGGAGUUUUUAUUUAGUUGGUUUUGAGAUCAUACUUGCAUUUUAACAUAGUAGCCUAAUUGUGGCAUGAACACUAUGACCAUGUUAUUUUCACACACACACAUAGACAAUAUAUGAAUGUAAUACUCCCUCUGUCCGGAAUUACUUGUCUUAGAUUUGUUUAGAUACGGCUGUAUUUAGUGUUAGAUACAUUCGUAAUUUUUUUUUUGAGAAAAGAUACAUUCGUAUUUAGAUAAAUUUAAGACAAGUAAUUUGAGACGGGGGUAAUAUUUAACAAUGUUCAUACUGAAAAUAUCAAUACAUUUUUUUUGAAAGAUCCAGCUAUGCUGGUUUUUCAUUGAUCAUUAGCAGGAGGCAGUGGGGGAAAACAAGGUGAUGGGGAUCUAGAGGAUCCGAGGGUUUGCCACAGACCGGCAAUCCUCGUGUGACAGGGUAGCCUAGGGCUUAUAUUUCAUGGCGGUUCCCCAAAGGGGCCCUCGAUGCAGAUUGCGCCCGCGACGCGCCAUAGCUCGAUGCAGUCCGUGAUACUGAAAAUAUCAAUACAUUUUCAUCAAAAUGUAUUUCAGACAUAUUAGUAAAGAGUUCCUAACAAGAGUGUACAGAAUCCAUGUAUCCUUCGUACUGCAAAAUGCACGCCGUCUCCAGGCUGCAAGGCUCCUUGUUGAGUGAAAUGUGUCUUAAAUAAGAUACACCAGAAGAAAUGGAAGUAGCUUAACACACAACAAUUCUAUCAGAGAAUAAGAAAUGUCGGAUGAUAUCAGGUGUGCAAGAGAACAUCAGCACAACGCGGAAACUUCCCAAAAGACGGUUUUGCAUUCCUUUGUAUGCGAGGAAAACACUCAUCUGGCCAGUAUUGUUUUUUUUUUAAUUGUUGGUAGAAGAGCUGCCAAAUUCAUUGAUUAGAAGGGGUUUACAAAAACACCCUCAAAGGAGGAAUGCACCGCAUGAAGGCAAGUGCCAAAAAAGAAGAAAGGAGAAAGGGUUGCUUGGUUUAUUUGAGAAAAACCAGGCGAAAAUAUAAACAACACAUAGCUGGCCAGCAUUGUGGUCUUGUGGAAGAGUGAUAUUUGCCAACUUGGAGAAAAUGGAGUAAUGUAGCCGGUGAGUGAAACAAGCUUAGACCAAGUGGGCAAUAAGAUCCCCCUUGCGGAAGAUGGGGUGGGCCUCUGUACGAGCCGGAUUUUUUUUUUUUGCGGGGCGAGCCGGAUUCAUUGCCGUCCUCCAGGCAAAGCAAAACCAGAGCUUCCCCUCAAAAGAAAAAGAGCAAAACCAGAGCUAGUGGUUUCAAAAAACCGGAGGCUGCUGCGGAGUACAUGUUGGGUUUCGAGUGCAUCGGAGUACAUGUUGGGUUUCGAGUGCAUCGAAAGUUCGCUCUAGAACCUCCGAGCCAGACUCCGGCUUGCAUCCGGUUGAGAUCAGAGCUAUGAUCUCAAACAGAGGCUACUCUGAAUGUCGAACUGGAGGUCUGGUCUUUAACCUCCAGGAAAAAAUAUUAUACAGAAGUCAACAUUCGGUGGAAACCGAUAAAAACCACGAGAAAACGAUGUUGUGGCGUUUAAAAAAAAUCUCAAAAACUCAUGAGAUGUUAAGAGGGUGACGUUCUAUUGCCAUGCAAAAUUUCAAGUUCAAACAUGUUGAUGUGAGCGAUGCAAAAGAAAAAAAAAAUCAGCAUUGGAUAGUGCCAACAGUCAUGUCACUAUUCAUAACUCACAUCCCUUAAUGUGUUUUUACUUCAAAUUUUGUAUGACAAUAAAACAUCAUCCUCUUAACAUCCCACAUUUUUUCCAUAUAUUUUUAAAACUUUGAAACAUGGUUUCGACAAAGUUUUCUUUGAAUGUUGGUUUCUGUAUGAUAUACUUCCAACCUCCAGAUAGGCCUCCUGGAUACGGCGAAAAAACCGAUGGUUUUAUUUUUGGAGUGCAUUCUCUUGAGCCGGAGGUAGUUUUAACGUUUGUCAAUGGGAUAGGAUUUCACCCCAAGUUCAUCACGUGACCCCUCUUUGUAGUGCUUCCCCAUGACUCAAUUAAUGUAAAAGAUACAUAAUUUAAAUCCACAUUUUCCUUCUCUUAAAUGGGAGAGGGGAGGAAACACUGCCCAUAUGCUUUGUAAUAAUUGUUAGUCCUUUAAUCACAUGUCAUCUAUAAACAGGGAACAUAUGUCCUUUCAUCGUGCACUAGGGUUCCCUAAAACAGGUGAGAUGUAGACCGAUUAAUGUGCCCAAAUCAAUGGGAUUUUUUGACGGAUUUCAUGUACUUCUAUUUUACAACUAAUUCGUUUCACACAUUUCAAAUUAGCUAAAACUCAUCGAAGAUUGGUGCUGAUUUAAAGCUCUAAACGUGUUGGAUUCAAAUAUAUAAAAUGUUUCAAAACAUAAUUUUAGUUCAAAAAGCAUAUCAAUACAAAAUGCAACAAGAAAAUAAAUAAAUCAAAUGCCAGUCUUUAGUUUGGAGAUCGAGAGAGAGCAUGCAGCGAGCGUGUAUGCUCUCGAUGUUAAAUGGGUCCCGCUGCCGCCGGCAGAUGUAACUGCGGUUAAUGUGGAUGCUGCACUCUUCAAGGAUUCUCAACGGAUGGGAAUUGGCGUGGUAAUCAAGAACCACAUGGGAGAUUACUUACGGGCUUGCCGCGAGCGCGUUGAUGAGGUUACCGCCCCAGAACUAGCUUAAGCACUAGCGCUACAACGUGCGGUGACUCAGGAAGGCUUUCCAAGGGUUGUUUUCCAAACCGACAGUUUGUCCGUUAUCCAGAGAAUCAAUGCUUAGAUGGUUGAUUGCUCACUGGCAGGCUCAUCACAACUGAUAUCAAGGAGCUAGUGUUGUUCUUCUCGUCCGUUCACUUUAGUCAAAUCGUUUGAAGAAUAUCGCGACACAUAUUCUAGCUAGAUCAUCCAAGUCCUCUAGUGACUCUAUUUUUCAUGUAAUCCCGGAUUGUAUUCGGGAGGCACUCUUUCUUGAUUAUCCUUAUCAAUAAAGCGUAUUAUUUCUAAAAAAAGCUUCAUCUCUUUAGGUGUUGAUUGUGUUAUUUUUUGUCCAAUUUUUUUAUUAAUUAACAAACAACAAUCUCUUUCGUAAUUAAUGGAACAAAUAAAGUUAUUUUCUCGGCUCCAAAAUGCAUAACGGAGCAACGAUACCAGAAUUUCUGGUCCACGCCCCAGGAACAGCUUCGCUUUGCCUUUUGCGAUAGACAGUUGCAGUUCGUACCUUCUUUGGACGCCGGCGAGGCAGCGAUCUCCACUCCUCUCUGUCCGUCGCUUCAACGGCNNNNNNNNNNNNNNNNNNNNNNNNNNNNNNNNNNNNNNNNNNNNNNNNNNNNNNNNNNNNNNNNNNNNNNNNNNNNNNNNNNNNNNNNNNNNNNNNNNNNNNNNNNNNNNNNNNNNNNNNNNNNNNNNNNNNNNNNNNNNNNNNNNNNNNNNNNNNNNNNNNNNNNNNNNNNNNNNNNNNNNNNNNNNNNNNNNNNNNNNNNNNNNNNNNNNNNNNNNNNNNNNNNNNNNNNNNNNNNNNNNNNNNNNNNNNNNNNNNNNNNNNNNNNNNNNNNNNNNNNNNNNNNNNNNNNNNNNNNNNNNNNNNNNNNNNNNNNNNNNNNCUUGUCUUCGUCUAGUAGCCCUGUUUCACUGUUCGGUGAGGUUGGUGUUUCGUUGAAUAAGAUGACUUCGGUCUCUUCUCACCAUGGUGACGCUCUCUCCGACGACGCCGUUGAGCCGAUGGCCUUGUCUGCUCGCCGUUCGUUCGGAGCGGUGAGCUUUAUGUUUCCUGUGUCUGGCAGCUGUUGCCAUUCAAGGCAGCGUCGGCAAAAGGGAUAUGUAGGUGCUGGUUCAAGGUUGCUGGCCCGAUGGGGCGGAUCUGGCGUUCUUUCUUGACAACGACGGCGGGAUUUAUCAAAAUUGGAUCCAUGUUGGCGUGGGGAACAUCCUCGGACGACUCGCCACAUCGCCAAGUGCCUAUUCUGCAGGUCUGGUCUUCGGCUCUCACACCUUCAAGGCUAUGGCAUUGGUCUGGAUUUUGGUUUGUUGGUGUUCCAUGUCUUCCUCUGGUGUGCGCCUAACGAUGCUGAUGGUCGAAGGCGGUUUCAGAUCUAGUUGUUUGCAUGGACCCCAAAGGACUUAUUUGUAAUAUGUUUCUAUUUGGGGUUCUUGAACAAAUUGGACACGGUCUUAUGAUAGUUUUCACAUGUAUAUACAAGUAUACUCCCUUCGUUCCUAAAUACAAAUCUUUUUAAAGAUUUCAAUAUGAACUACAUACGAUGAUAUAAGUCUUUUUAUAGAUUUCAAUAUGUGAAACGAACCGAGUGAUACUUCGUUUAUUAGUAAUUACUAACAAAAAAACCCGUGCAUUGCAACGGGAAAGAAAAUAACACAUGUUCUUAACCCAAUAACCAUGACUCAAGACCUUAAUAGGCCCGCGUCUUUUAGUUUCACAUGACAUCACAUUUGUAUUUCCUCUAUACUCACACACUCGCUCGAAAAAAAAGCCCAUGCAUUGCAACGGGAAAGAAAAUAACACACACUCUUAACCCAAUAACCAUGACUCAAGACAUUAAUAGGCCCAUGUCUUUUAGUUUCACAUGGCAUCAUAUUUGUAUUGCCGACAGUGACCUCUGUGCUCAUACAAUGAAAACACGUUUGAAUGCGGUUAGUCUUAAUGUCUCUCUUUUGCGCGCGCGCACGUGCGCACACUCGCUUGGAAUAAGAUAAAAAGUAUGUUGUUUUUUUCCCGCAAGGUUUUUCAUAGUUGUGUAUGCAUGGUUCUCGAUGUUUUUUUCUCUCACUCUGGUUUUAAUAGAUGUUUAUUUGCAAUUUGAAUCACCGACGGUACAAAAAAACAGACCGUACACUAUAUAUUAAGUUUGCACCAAAAAUUAUAUUUUAGCAAUAUUUAACAGCUAAAAAUAACUUCAUAUUUAGAUUCUACAUAUUUUUUUAAUCAAGUUUCAUAUAUAACAUGUUAAAAUUUAAGUUACGGUUUAAAAGAUAUGAAUAAUCUUAUUUUACAUAAACUGUAGAUUGAUUAACCGAAAUGUCAAGGGGUUUUCUGUUAAAACUAAAAAAACGUUUUGGUUAACUUAAAUAUGGACGGCGGGUUGAUUGUCUAAAACGUCAGGGGGUUUUCUGAGAAAAUGAGAAAAAAUGGUUCUAUUAUAACUUAAACAUGUACUGCGGGUUGAUUUACAGAAAAUUGAGGGGUUUAUUUGUAAAAAUGGUGUGAUGGACGACCAGAAACAAUCCGUGCUUUAUUAGUACUCCUUCCUUUCAUCUAUAUAGGGCCUAAUGCGUUUUUAAGACCGCCUUUGACCAUUGACAAGAUUAAUAGUACAUGACAUGCACAAUAUGAAAAUUAUAUCAUUGAAAGCUCCUUUCACACAUAAAUUUAACGGUGUGCUUUGUGUAAGUUGCAUGUCAUAUAUUAUUGCUCUAAUAUUUGGUCAAAGUCAGCCUCAAAAAACGCACUAGGCUCUAUAUAGAUGGAAGGAGGGAGUAGGUAAGAUAAGAUAAGAUAAGAAAUAGCGGUUCAGAGUAAAAAGAGAGCGGAAAACGUGUAGUACUAGACGGAGCAGCCUACCCACAGUCGUCCGCCUCUUGAGAGUGGGAACAGAGUAAACGCAAACAACCGCCGCGCCGCAGACUACCCCGACGAGCCGCCGGCCGGCCGACCGGUGUAGUUAAUACAGUGGCGGAGCACCUCGGACUCCUCAACCGCCAUCAAUACCGUGCUUGAUCCUCUCGACAGACUCAACGGCCACCCCAAGCACAACAGCCGUAGGGGUACGUACGUACUACGCGAUGAGGCUGGUCACAAUGGGAAGGAACUUAGGAGUAACAUCACACACUCCAAUACAACUUUGCUUAUGUGGCACAUAUUUAAUGAAGAGAGAGGUGCUUGUGGUAACUAGCUAAGUUACCGGAACAUCACACACUCCAAGAAACAAUGAGUCUAUAACCUAAUAAAUACAUCGUUGCAUGACACUACAUAAAUGUUCCUACCCACUAUGAAGAUAGUAAUAUAGUUUAGGGAAGUGUGUAAGUUACUAGCUUAUGUUCUUGCCCAUUGUGACCAGCCUGAAGCAUUCACCAGUAACUGCAUCUACCAGUUCUACGGCGUAGCAUCCAUGGAACUACACACCUACGAUCAGCAGGCUAUCACAGCCGGCGGUGAUCAAGUGACCCAAACAUACGAAUGAAUCAUGCCUGCACCUGGCGAUGAAUCUUCGUCGCCUCCCAAAUAUCACCGCCGAACGCAACUUGGGAGCAAGCCGCAACCACCUCGAGCAGAGUCUGACACCGCUCCGCUCAGCUUUCUGUUACCGCCAUUUAAAGUUUUAAACCUCCUCGUGUCUUUCCCGCCGCAAAGCAGAUCGCCGGAGCAGCACCGUUCUGCCUCUAACUCCCUGCUUGCUUGCAUGCAAAGCUUCUCCACACUCCUCGGUGCUCGAUCGGUCGGACGAUCUCCACCUAUAAAUACGCCUCCUCCCUUCUCUUCCACCAUCAUCAUCUCACACUCGAAGCUAACUAGCCCCCAAGCAGCUGCUAGGUCUGCAGUACAAAGGUAGCCACUACAGCUCGUGGUGUACCGGCGGUAGAGCAGAGCAGCACGAUGGGGCAGCUCAGCAAGAAGCUUCUGGUGGCGUCCAUGGUGGUGGCGGUGCUGGCCGUGGCAGCAGUGGAGCUGUGCGGCGCCAUCCCGCUCGAGGACAAUGACCUGGAGUCGGAGGAGGCGCUGUGGGACCUGUACGAGCGGUGGCAGACCGCGCACCGCGUGCCCCGCCACCACGCUGAGAAGCACCGCCGCUUCGGCACCUUCAAGUCCAACGUCCACUUCAUCCACUCCCACAACAAGCGCGGCGACCGCCCCUACCGCCUCCGCCUCAACCGCUUCGGCGACAUGAGCCAGGCCGAGUUCCGCGCCACCUUCGCCGGCUCCCGCGUCAGCGACCGCCGCCGCGACGGCCCCGCCACGCCACCGUCGGUCCCGGGGUUCAUGUACGCCGCCGUGAACGUGUCGGACCUGCCGCGGUCCGUGGACUGGCGCCAGAAGGGCGCGGUGACCGGCGUCAAGAACCAGGGCAAGUGCGGCAGCUGCUGGGCUUUCUCCACCGUGGUGUCCGUGGAAGGCAUCAACGCCAUCCGAACCGGGAAGCUGGUGUCGCUGUCGGAGCAGGAGCUCAUCGACUGCGACACGGCGGACAACGACGGGUGCGAGGGCGGGCUCAUGGACAACGCCUUUGAGUACAUCAAGAAAAACGGCGGGCUCACCACCGAGGCCGCCUACCCGUACCGGGCUGCCAACGGCACCUGCAGAGCCGCGAAGGUGGCCAAGAGCUCCCCCAUGGUGGUGCACAUCGACGGACACCAGGACGUGCCGGCCAACAGCGAGGAGGCGCUGGCCAAGGCCGUGGCGAACCAGCCCGUGUCCGUGGGCAUCGAUGCCAGCGGGAAGGCGUUCAUGUUCUACUCCGAGGGGGUGUUCACCGGUGAGUGUGGAACAGAGCUGGACCACGGCGUCGCGGUGGUCGGGUACGGCGUGGCGGAGGACGGCAAGGCGUACUGGACGGUGAAGAACUCGUGGGGCCCGUCGUGGGGGGAGAAGGGGUACAUCAGGGUGGAGAAGGAUUCCGGUGCCGAAGGCGGGCUCUGCGGCAUCGCCAUGGAGGCAUCCUACGCCGUCAAGACGGACAGCAAACCCAAGCCCACGCCCAGGCGCGCGCUCGGCGCCUGGGAGUCUCAGUGAUCGUCCCAAUCUCUAUGCGUGUCUGAAUUAUUUCUACUAUAUUCCUAGUUAAAUUAGGGUGAAAAAAUAAAUUACAGCUGAAUCAAGUGCUUCUCCGUCCACACGCAAGAAUUAGGUGUGUAGCGUGGGACCAGGACGAUCGACAUAAUUUGUUUGGAUUUAUACGAAUGUAAUGUAAAAUGUAAUAAUGCAUGCAAUGUACUGGUAAUGUUUGUAAGUGUAAUACCCACGAUGCGGCUAUAUCUCCUACGUGUCGGAGCACGACUUAGAGGCAUAACCGCAUUGUAGGCAUGUGCAAGAGGGGUAAUCUUUACACAUCCCAUGUACUGAAUAAGAUAAAGAUAAAGAGUUGGUUUACAAUCGCCACUUCACACAAUACAAGAAUAUAACUUUACAUCAUCCAGAAUACAAUCAAGGUCCGACUAGGAUCCCCGAUCGCCCCAACUGGGCUCCACUACUGAUCAACUGGAAACGAAACAAUACCACGAACACGAACUUCAUCGAGCUCCCACUUGAGCUCAGCUGCGACAUCUGCACCGGUAUUAUCAGCACCUGCAACUGGUUUUGGAAGUAAUAUGUGAGUCACGGGGACUCAACAAUCUCAUACCCUCGCGAUCAAGACUAUUUAAGCUUAUGGGUAGGAAAAGGUAGUGAGGUGGACCUGCAGCACACACUAGCAUAUAUGGUGGUUAACAUACGCAAAUGAGAGCGAGAAGAGAAGGCAAAACACGGUCAAGAAGCUACAAAGAUCAAGAAGUGAUCCUAGAACUACUUACCUUCAAGCAUAACACCAAAGCCGUGUUCACUUCCCGGACUCCGCCGAAAAGAGAUCAUCACGGCUACACACGCGGUUGAUGCAUUUUAAUUAAGUCAAGUGUCAAGCUCUUUAUAACCGGACAUUAAUAAAUUCCCAUCUGCCCAUAACCGCGGACACGGUUUUCGAAAGUUCAAAUCCCUGCAGGGGUGUCCCAACUUAGCCCAUCACAAGCUCUCACGGUCAACGGAGGAUAUUCCUUCUAGCGGGAAGACCCGAUCAGACUCGGAAUCCCGGUUACAAGACAUUUCGGCAAAGGUAAAACAGGACCAGCAAAGCCGCCCGGAUGUGCCGACAAAUCCCGAUAGGAGCUGCACAUAUCUCGUUCUCAUGGCACACCGGAUGAGCCAGGCGUCGGGUUGGCAUAGACCCUGGUUGCCCAAGGGGCGCCGAACAUCGCUCAGGUUGGACCAACACUUAGAGAAGCACUGGCCCGGGAGGGUUAAAAUAAAGAUGACCCUCGAGCUCCGAAAACCCAAGGGAAAAAUGCUAGGUUGUUAGUGCAAAUGUAAAACCAAGGUUGGGCCUUGCUGGAGGAGUUUUAUUCAAGGCGAACUGUCAAGGGGUUCCCAUUAUAACCCAACCACGUAAGGAACGCAAAAUCAAGGAACAUAACACCAGUAUGACGGAAACUAGUGCAGCAAGAGUGGAACAAAACACCAGGCAUAAGGCCGAGCCUUCCACCCUUUACCAAGUAUAUAGAUGCAUUAAUUAAAUAAGAGAUAUUGUGAUAUCCCAACAAAAAUCAUGUUCCAACAUGGAACAAACUUCAUCUUCACCUGCAACUAUCAACGCUAUAAGAGGAGCUGAGCAAAAGUGGUAACAUAGUCAAACAACGGUUUGCUAGGACAAGGUGGGUUAGAGGUUUGACAUGGCAAUAUGGGAGGCAUGAUAUAGCAAGUGGUAGGUAUCGCAGCAUAGCAAUAGAGCGAACAACUAGCAAGCAAAGAUAAAAGUGAUUUCGAAGGUAUGGUCAUCUUUCCUGAGAUCCCGCAAGGAAGAAGAACGAGUACAUGAAGAAGACAAACGGACGUAGUCGAACGAAUCCUCACCACACGACGUUAUCAGAGCCAACCCGAAGAAGCACACCAGAAAGAAGCAAACAACAUAGUAAACAACCACCACAUAGACAUGGCAUGAUGCACAAACAAUUAUGAUGCAUGUCCGGUUUAAUGAAGCAUGUCAUGGCAAAGUGCACAAACAACACUACAAGUUCAGUGGAGCUCAAUAUGCAAUGAGUUGCAUAUUGACGGAAUACCACAUGCCUUAUUUAGUUCUCUCUCGUUUAUGUACUCAACAAUAUUAAAUGUUGUUUAGCAUGGCAAGGGGUGAAGCAAAGUUAAACUAACUAUCUAGUCAAGUUUAAAUAAGGCCGGAAACAACGAACAACAAUUUCGGAAAAUUCUCAUAUGCAUAUUUUUGGAUUAGGUACUAUUCUGCCCUAAACAUAAUUUUAGAGUUAUUAAACAUGCAAAACAAGUACACCAUGUUAAACUAGGCAUUUUUUCUACCCCAUUUACAUAUAAAGUUUAUUAAAAACCAAGCCACGAUUAUUUAGUUAUGAAUAAAAUCAUUUUAGCAUGGCAAUAGGCAAAAUAAAACAAACAACAAGUUUAAACAUUUUUAACAUGCAUGAAAGUUGCAUAUUAUGAAAUAGACAAAAUUCUAAGCAAGUUACAUAUAUAAAAUAUUUUAAUACGAUGCACGGUUGAUGAGUUUUUAUAUGCAUGAAGUGCAAGGGUUUUUCUGCAAAUCUGUAAAACCCUGGUAAUUAGCAAAUUCAUAGAACCCAAAAAAAACAUCCACUGGGCUGAAACUUGCUGGCCCAAUAGGAACAGGGGAUCUGGAGGGGUCUGCUCACAUCAGGCCUAGCAGGCCGAAACUGAAGCUGGGCCAGAGAGGAGGCGCACUGGGCCGACGGGGAAACAUCACAGGCCGACCCGAUCUGACCGAUGCGGUCAACGCGGUUGCUGCAGCGCUCAUCGUCUCGUUCCUGAAGCGGGGACUGAGCGAUGCAGGGGAGCUGGCGCGGUCAACGUCGAAGAAAUAGGAGCCUUGGCGCGGCCGCGACGCAGAGGACGCAGCGGCGGAUGGAGCUUCAACGGGCAGGCGAGGUGGAGGCCGCCGGGAGCGGAGCAGAAUGGCGCGGCGCGAGACUUGGCAAGGCGGCGACCUGCGGGGCUUCAACCGAGGGUGGAGCUACCCCCGCGAGGCACAAGGAGGAGAAGCAGAGGAGGCCACGGGCUCCUGGAGGUCUUGGACGUGCUUGGGGACUCCUUCCUCGAGAUGCUGCCUGGGCACGGGCGGCUACAUGCUCGAGCACGGGGAAGCAGGGAGGCAGGGUCUAGACGACGGGAACAGCGCAGAGGAGGUCACUGGCGGCGGGGGCUCCUCCUGUUGACGAACCAAGACAGAGGGAGUGAUGUGAGAGCGAGAGAGAGAAAGAGAGGAAAACGCGGGGAAGGAGGACGAGAAGGGCGACGAAGCUCCGGCCUAGUUGCAGCGGUGGUUGAUGGGCGUGCUGACAGGGUCUCAGGUGGUCGCGGUGGAUCGAGCCAGUGCUCGGGCGGACAGGGUCUCAGGUGGUCGCGGUGGUCACCAAGGUCGAUGGCUCACCGGUGAGUCGAGGCGGGGUUGAGGGCGACGAGGAGACACUACAAAAAAAAAGACACAUCCGUGACAUUUUGGGCCGAACGAAAUUUUUUUCUGUCAUACAUAUGACACUUCUAUGACGAUAAUUGUGACAAAACCCGGUAUCAUCAUAGAUGUGGUGGGCUCCUACUUCUAUGACAAAAAAUCAUGACAGAAAAUGGGCUUUUUGUCCUGGGCGGGCCGGAGACGCAGCUGCAUGACAUUCUUUGGGCCGUCCAUGAUGGAAAAAAUAGUGGUAGAAGCGAGGGCGAGGAAAAUUUCGGGAGUUCCCGAUUACGGUGGGAGGUCGGGGGCCGAGCGAUGCGCGUUUCUCUCAUACACGUACGCGCGUGUGUGCGAGGCGUUGGCUCUAACUGAACCCGAGCGAGGCGUUGGCUCUAACUGAACCCGAGCGAUUGCACUGCAGACUACGCAUUACUGAACCCGAGCGAUUGAUCGAUGGCUGUUAACUAAACCCGAUCGAGCGAUUCCUUCGCUACUGCUGCUAACUGAAGCCGAUCGAUACUGCCUUUGGAUGAAGAGUGAGCGUUGCGGGGAGGGGGGGGUGUUGGAUGAACAGUUCCCGGUGGGGGUGGAUGAAUAGGACCCCGUGGUGUUGCCUCUGGAUGAACAGGACCCCAAUCGAUCGAGCCGGUUGGGGCUGGAUGAACAGGACCCUAUGGUGGGCUAGAUGAACAGGACCACCCCAUGGAGGGAAGGAUGAACAGUAGAUGGUGGAGGGCAGGAUGAACAGUAGCCCGUGGAGGGGUGGUUGAACAGGAGCCCGUGGAGAGGGCUGGUUGAACAGUAGCCGGUGGAGUAGCGCGUGGUGGAGGCUGGAUGAACAGGAGCCCGUGGAUGAACAGUUGCAGGUGGAGGCUGGAGGAGGUCGACGGUGGAUGAACAGUAGCUUGUGGAGGUUGGAGGGGGUCGACGGUGGAGAUGAACAGUAUCCCGUGGAGUCCCGUUUUGCGGUAUGCCACACCCCUCCCGAUGAACAGGACCCCCGUUUUGACCGUAGCGCUCCAACACAAGUCCGUUUCCUCUGUUUUGCGGUACGCCACACCCCUCCCGAUGAACAGGACCCCCGUUUCGACCGUAGGAGGUCCAUUUCCUUUGUUUUGCGGUAUGCCAGACCCCUCCCGAUCAACAGGAUCCCGUUUCGAACAUGGCCGGUCGAACACAAGGCCGUUUCAUCCGUUCUGCGAUACGCCAGGCCUCGUUUCCAUCGCCUGUUCCGUCCGAGCCCUCCCGAUGAACACGACGCAUUCCGUUGCCUCCCCAUGAACACGACGCAUUCCAUUGCCUCCCCAUGAACACGACACGUUCCAUUGCCUUCUCAUGAACACGAUGACAACGCUGUUUCUCCGUUCCGACCCAGCCAUGUAAACGAGCCCUCGCCGUACGUAUGCGCGAGUAGGCGUUCGAGACCCCGCCCGUAUGUACACAUACGUGGCCGUAUUUUCUUUCUUGCACCAUGACCGCUGUACGUACGUGUACAUGCUACGUGCGCGCCUCUACUACGACACGUGCGCACCUCUACAUCGACCAGUAUAUAUGUACGUACACGUUCGCGACCAGAAUGACAAUGCUAUGUACGCUUCGACCAGGUAGGUCCCGACUAUCAGGCACUUCCUUGCGUGCGAAGAUGUAGCUGGUGGGUCCCAGCAGUCAGGGGGACAAAUCGUUUUGUUUUUUUGCCCGGACGCACUUCCUUGCAUGCAAAGGUGUAGCUGGUGGGUCCCAGCAGUCAGGGGGGAAACGUUUUUUUGCAAAAUACGAUGGCCCGUCCGGUGGGUCCCCGCUGUCAGGUGGAAGAAUAAUUAUUUUGCACGUAAUAAGGAGGCACUUCCUUGUUGUGGCCGUGGACCCAGCUGUCAGCCUCUCCACGUACAGUCCACGUCCGAUGGAAGUCGUUCCUUGAUCAUGUUGACCACGCCGCGCCGAGAGCACCAGGGCGGUGGACGACGGCGAGGUCUAGGAAGGGGACGACAAGGAGCCGGGGAAGAGGCGGCAGUGGAAGCCCGCACGGAGAGGAGUACAAGGGUUCACUGGUUCGGCUGCAGUGUGAGGCUGCCGUCGUCGCAGGGCCUGGCCAGUAGUGGGAAUAGUAGGGGGCGGUGAGGCCUCCGCGACAGCACAGCCGGCCAUGGGAGGCAGGAGCAUGCGGCACGACCGGCGCUGCUUUGGGCGGCUGGAGCAAGAAGACCAGAGGUUGAAAAAGCACUACGGCCGUUGGAUGGACAUCGUACGACCACUGAAGCUAGAACCGUUCAUAUUUACUAAAGUUGACAAAGGCCCCCGUCCCAGUCAACUUAGUAGGCCCACAAGUCAGCCUCCCACCAUGGUGGGUCCCAACUAGCAGGGAGAGUAUUUGUUUUUUUGUGCGUAAUAAGGAGGCACUUCCAGUGGGUCCGAGCUGACAGCGGGAGGAACGUUUUUUUCGCGAAAUACGCUGGCCCGUCCGGUGGGUCCGAGAAGUAAGGGGGAAAACGUUUUUUUUCACGAAAUAAGGUGGCCCGUCCGGUGGGUCCCUGCUGUAAGGUGGAGGAAUAAUUAUUUUGCGCGUAAUAAGGAGGCACUUCCUUGCGGCCGCCUGGACCCAGCUGUCAGCCUCUCCACGUACAGUACUCUUCCGAUAGAAGUCGGUCAUUGACCACGUUGACCACGCCGCGCCGAGAGCACCAGGGCGGUGGUCUGGACGACGGCGAGGCCUAGGAAGGGGACGGCGCGGAGCCUGGGAAGAUGCAGCAGUGGAAGCCCGCGCGGAGAGGAGUACGAGGAUUCACUGGUUCGGUUGUGGUGUGAGGCUGCUGUCGCCGCAGAAUAACAGGGGGUGUGGGUGAGUGGAGGGAUGGCAUGACCAGCGGUGGGAGUAGUAUGGGGGCGGUGAGGCCUCUGCGGCAGCACAGCCGUCCACGGGAGGCAGGAGCAGGCGGCACGACCGGCGCUGCUUUGGGCGGCUGGACCAAGAAGACCAGAGGUUGAAGAAGCAUUACGGUCGUUGGAUGGACAUCGUACGGUCAUUGAAGCUAGAAACGUUUAUUAUUGACUAAGUUGACAAAGCCCUUGGUAUGCUCCAACUUAGUAGGCCCACAGGUCAGCCUCUGAAACGGUGCGUCCCAGAUGUCAGGGGGAGGAAUCAUUUUUUGGGCGGCCGAAGCUAAAAAUAUCCGAGAUUGAAGAAGAAGCACGACAUCCGUUGGAUAGACAUUCAACGGCCACUGCUGCUAGAACCGUGUGUUGACUAUAAUAAGUUGGCAAAGCCUUGCAUACGCGUCAAUUUAUUUAUUUAGGGGAUGCAUCACUUAGUAGGCCCACAAGUGUGUGGCAGAGAACUUAUAGCCCAUUUGCAUUUUGUAAGAAUGUACAGCCCAUUUUGGAAUUCUAAUGGAAUUUACAACAACCCAUUUAUAGUUUGUUAAAAGUACAACCCAUUUUCUAGCUAGGACAAUGAUUAAUAAUUUCAAUCAACCGUUGAAGACAAAAUUCAAUAAAAUUUCCCACAUUUUGAUGGGUUCCGAUAUAUUUUUAUCCUGAAAUUUCUAGUCAGAUUAAAUAUAGAUUUGUAUUACGUAAAAAUCCAAUGAAACAUUGCGCGCGUAAUAAUGAAAAUUUAAGAUUUUCAAAAUCUAUAAAUAAUAUUUUAUAAACUAAUUUCAUGUUUGGUGCAUUUUUUUAUAGUUACUGCCCAGUUUUUAUAAUUACAUCCCAUUUAUUAUUUUAAGUCAUUUUCCUGUUAAGACUAAUGCAUCCCUCCUAGGAAAGAUUUGCAGCCCUGCGGGGCGAAGAAUAACAAGUUGACCUUGUCUGGGUAUUCCUUAAAAAGACGUAUAGCUGGGCUAGCCAUUUUCAUCUUGAAAAAAUUAGUAUCUGGGCUGGAUAUUUGGCCUGGACUAGACGGGCCACAGCCUGCCCAGUUAAUACCAUGCUCUCCUCUGAACAACAACGAAAUCAUCGCCAAGAAAAACUCUGCAGUGCUCAUGCCUCAAAAACACAAAUACUGCUCGAGCUGCUUGGUCCCAGCUGUCGGCCACACCUCACGCUUCAAAAACACAAACACAAAUACCUAUUACUAUACAUCACGUCGAUCCAUUAGGGCUAUUUUCGUUCAACGGAAAAACAUCAAUCCACUGGUUGUUACCAUCACUCUAAAUUUCUGCAUGCUCUCCUUACAUAAUCUCACCAUAUUUUUUUCGUAUGCAUGUCAGAUAUUGUACACAGUCAUGCUGAACAUGUAGAGAAAAGGAGAAGAGUUUUGCGCGGCAAUACAAUGUCAUGCAGACAUCGCUCCAUGGUGGGUUCAAUGGCAAACCCUCCCCACCCCUCUCCAGAUUGUAAUCCAGAGGAAGAUAUCUGUUCUGAGGCGGAUUCGGACGCCGCUGACCACUCCUAUUUACCCUCCAAGGUGUUUGCUCUACCUUGGCAUGAUGAUGUUAGUCAUAUCAUGCAUAUGUUGCCUUGCAGUGCCUACUUUUGACAUCAUAUAUGUCAUCUGCUUCGUUUAGACAUGUUCUGUAAUGCCACCUGUUUAGUUUCUAUAUCAUAUAUGGGAGUUAUGCAGUCUCAUGUCUUUUAGCCAGCCAUAAUAUAUGUGAAAUGUGCAAUGCCAUCCUGUUUAACCAGGCAUCAUAUAUUUGAAUGAUAUCUUGCCCAUCCUUUUCUUCAUUACAUUUCCAUUUGUCGACAAUGUUUGUACAUUAAAGUACUCUUCCUGUGAAUCAGCCAUUUGGGUGGGAGAUCGAAAAAUCUGGAGUGAAAACAAGGCCUUCAGAGCAGACAGUGCUACUUGUCGAAGCAGAUCUCUUGUUGGGUCCCGAUAACUCCUCAGAGAUGGAUUUAGAGACAGAUGACCAGUCCUAUUCCCCCACUGAGGUGUAUGCUCUAACUUGGCACGGUUAUACUGCUCAUAUCAUGCAUACGGUGUCUUGCAUUGUAUAGUUUAGACAUCAUAUACACAAUAUUCAACACCAAGUUCUUAGUUCAGACAUCAUAUCGAAUGCCCUCUGUUUAGCAUAUAAAUCACAUAUGUGAAUUAAAUGAUGUGAUCCUGAUUACUUAGAUAACAUGUAGGUGAAUUAUGUCAUGCGAUCAUGUUUAGUUAUUCCUCAUAUCUUUGAAUUAUGUUAUGCUAUGCUAUCCAGUUUAGAUAGACAUCAUAUAUGUGAAAUUAUGUCAUGCUAUCCGUUUUAGUUAAACAAUAUACAUGUCAACUAUUUCAUGCCCUCUUUUUUCCACACUAUCUAUUGCAUCUGUCUCUCAUACAAUGUCUGUACAUUCAACUAUGUUUCCUGUUUAUCAGCCAUUUGAAUUGGAGCGGGUGAUGCCAGUAUCUAGCGGACUAAAAACACGGUCUUCAAAUAAAACAGUGCUACCUCUUGGUGGAGAUAGCACCCCGGUUGUACAUGCACAAGAACCAGCCCUACCACACAUAACCCAAACUCUCGCAGAUUGUACCCCUACUACGAUGGACAGAGAACCAGCUUCACCCAAUCUAACCCCAACCCCAGCCGAUAGUAACCCAGUUCCUGUUGACACAACACCAUUUCCACCAUAGAGCUCCCAAACAAGAGCAGUUAGUAAGGCAGCUCCAGUGCCCAUAGGGCCAGUACUAUCAAGGCGAACCCCAACUCCACCAGUUAGUACGCCUAUUCCUGUGGAGGAAGCACAACCAGCUAGUCGUAGUUUAGCAUCUAUCGCAUUUGAUGUUGUUAAAUCGUAUGUGCGUGUCUUCCCAUCUUGGAAAUAUUAUACUGAAGAUGAAGGAAAAUGCCAGUUGCAGGUGUUUGUCCAGGAGUUAUGUGUAAGUAAUGUUAUUCAUGGCAAUUACUUUGCUUCGUCCAUACAUCCUACCUCCAUGAUGGUUAUAAUACAACAAAUUUUCCCAUUUUUCUCUAUAGAGAAGGACCGAUUUGGAAACUCAGGAUGAGGUAACCUGUGCUAAUACCUCUGCUAUCUUCAAGAAUGCUUGGUGGGAGUAUCGGAAUUACCUGAAGAAAACGUACUUCACCGGCAAAGAAACUCAUCAAAUUCCCUUACGUUCUUCUGAGACACAUUUACUGGACGAUGACUGUGAAUGCCUUGUUCUGUACUGGUCCCAAUCCAAGAAUGUGGUAAGGUCUAUGAGCUCAUUUUCUAUUUUUAAGUAUUAUAUUCUUGCGUCUUACUGUACUCUGUUCAUGUAGAACAAGUGCCUAAACCUGAAGAACAACUGUUCUAAUUUAAGAUUCCAUUGCUACCAUAGGGCAUAGAUAUAUGUUUGUUUGAUGCUUUUAUUAUGUACUAUUACUUGGCAAUAGAAGACUUGGUAGUUUAAUCCUGUCCACCUUACUAAUGAACUGGUUCACCGAAAUGAGUUUCAUAUACUCUGGCCAUAUCACAUCACAAAACACUUGCUGCAAAAACAAGUUAGACGUCCUCUAAUUGUUGUUGCAAGUUUUUACGUGGCUGCUAUAGGUUUCUAGCAAGAACAUUUCUUACCUACGCCAAAACCACAACGUGAACUGCCAAUUUCUAUUUACCCUUCAUAAGGACCCUGUUCAUCGAGUCCGAUCCGACUAAAGUGGGAGAGACAGACACCCGCCAGCCACCUUAUGCAACUAGUGCAUGUCAAUCGGUGGAACCUGUCUCACGUAAGCGUAUGUGUAAGGUCGGUCCGGGCCGCUUCAUCCCACGAUGUCGCCGAAUCAAGACAAGACUAGUAACGGCAAGCAAAUUGACCAUUUCGACGCCCACAACUGCUUUGUGUUCUACUCGUGCAUAGUAACUACGCAUAGACCUAGCUCAUGAUACCACUAUUGGGGAACGUAGCAGAAUUUAAAAUUUUCUACGCAUCACCAAGAUCUAUCUAUGGAGUCAUCUAGCAACGAGGGAGAGAGGAGUGCAUCUACAUACCCUUGUAGAUCACGAGCGGAAGCGUUCAACAGAACGAGGUUGAUGGAGUCGUACUCGUCGUGAUCCAAAUCACCAAAGAUCCUAGCGCCGAACGGACGGCACCUCCGUGUUCAACACACGUACGGAGCGAGGACGUCUCCCGCGCCUUGAUCCAGCAAGGAGGAGGGAGAGGUUGAGGAAGAGAGCUCCAACAGCAGCACGACGGCGUGGUGGUGGUGAAGCUGCAGUACUCCGGCAGGGCUUUGCCAAGCUCUUACGGAGGAGGAGAGGUGUAGGGGAGGGGAGGGGCUGUGCCUUGGAUGUUGUAUGCAGCCAUCCCCUUGACCCUCUAUUUAUAGGGGAAGGAGGAAGGGGGACGGCCCCCUCUAGAUGAGAUCUAGAGGGGGGGGGGGCGGCGGCCAAGGGGAGGGGGCUUGCCCCCCAAGCAAGGGGGGCGCCCCCUUUAGGGUUUCCCCCCCAACCCUAGGCGCAUGGGACCAAGGGGGGGAUGCGGCCAGCCCAUGUAGGGCUGGUUACCCUUUCCUCUACAACCCAUUAGGCCCUCCGAGAGAGGUGGCCCCUCCCGGUGGACCCCCGGAACCCCUCCGGUGGCCCCGGUACAAUACCGAUAUGCCCCCGAACCUUUCCAGUGACCGUAUGACAACUUCCUACAUAUAAAUCUUCACCUCCGGACCAUUCCGGAACUCCUCGUGACGUCCGGGAUCUCAUCCGGGACUCUGAACAACAUUUGGUAAUCACAUACAAGUCUUCCUAACAACCCUAGCGUCACCGAACCUUAAGUGUGUAGACCCUACGGGUUCGGGAGACAUGCAGACAUGACCGAGACGACUCUCCGGUCAAUAACCAACAGCGGGAUCUGGAUACCCAUGUUGGCUCCCACAUGCUCCACGAUGAUCUCAUCGGAUGAACCACGAUGUCGAGGAUUCAAUCAAUCUGUAUACAAUUCCCUUUGUCAAUCGGUACGUUACUUGCCCGAGACUCGAUCGUCGGUAUCCCAAUACCUUGUUCAGUAUCGUUACCGGCAAGUCACUUUACACGUACCGUAAUGCAUGAUCCUAUGAUCAACCACUUGAUCACAUUGAGCUCGUUAUGAUGAUGCAUUACCGAGUGGGCCCAGAAAUACCUCUCUGUCAUACGGAGUGACAAAUCCCAGUCUCGAUUCAUGCCAACCCAAUAGACACUUUCGGAGAUACCUGUAAUGAACCUUUAUAGUCAUCCAGUUACGUUGUGACGUUUGGCACACCCAAGGCACUCCUACGGUAUCUGGGAGUUGCACAAUCCCAUGGUCUAAGGAAAUGAUACUUGACAUUCAGAAAAGCUACAGCAAACGAACUACACGAUCUUUGAGCUAUGCUUUGGAUUGGGUCUUGUCCAUCACAUCAUUCUCCUAAUGAUGUGAUCCCGUUAUCAAUGACAUCCAAUGUCCAUAGUCAGGAAACCAUGACUAUCUUUUGAUCAACGAGCUAGUCAACUAGAGGCUCACUAGGGACGUGUUGUGGUCUAUGUAUUCACACAGGUAUUACGAUUUCCGGAUAACACAAUUAUAGCAUGAACAAUAGACAUUUAUCAUGAACAAAGAAAUAUAAUAAUAACCAUUUUAUUAUUACCUCUAGAGCAUAUUUCCAACAGUCUCCCACUUGCACUAGAGUCAAUAUUCUAGUUACAUUGUGAUGAAUCGAACACCCAUGCAGUUCUGGUGUUGAUCAUGUUUUGCUGUAGGGAGAGGUUUAGUCAACGGAUCUGCUACAUUCAGGUCCGUAUGUACUUUACAAAUCUCUAUGUCUCCAUUUUGAACACUUUCACGAAUGGAGUUGAAGCGACGCUUGAUAUGCCUGGUCUUCCUGUGAAACCUGGGCUCCUUGGCAAGGGCAAUAGCUCCAGUGUUGUCACCGAAGAGAGUCAUCGGGCCCGACGCAUUGUGUAUGACUCCUAGGUCGGUAAUGAACUCCUUCACCCAGACUGCUUCUUGUGCUGCCUCCGAGGCUGCCAUGUACUCCGCUUCACAUGUAGAUCCAGCCACAACGCUUUGCUUGCAACUGCACCAGCUUACUGCCCCACCAUUCAAAAUAUACACGUAUCCGGUUUUUGACCUAGAGUCAUCCAGAUCUGUGUCGAAGCUAGCAUCGACGUAACCCUUUACGACGAGCUCUUCGUCACCUCCAUAAACGAGAAACAUUUCCUUAGUCCUUUUCAGGUACUUCAGGAUAUUCUUGACCGCUGUCCAGUGUUCCAUGCCGGGAUUACUUUGGUACCUUCCUACCAAACUUACGGCAAGGUUUACAUCAGGUCUGGUACACAACAUAGCAUACAUGAUAGACCCUAUGGCCGAGGCAUAGGGGACAACACUCAUCUUUUCUCUAUCUUCUGCCGUGGUCGGGCAUUGAGCCGUGCUCAAUCUCAUACCUUGCAAUACAGGCAAGAACCCCUUCUUUGACUGAUCCAUUUUGAACUUCUUCAAUAUCUUGUCAAGGUACGUACUCUGUGAAAGACCAAUGAGGCGUCUCGAUCUAUCUCUAUAGAUCUUGAUGCCUAAUAUAUAAGCGGCUUCUCCAAGGUCCUUCAUUGAAAAACACUUGUUCAAGUAGGCCUUUAUGCUUUCCAAGAAUUCUAUAUCAUUUCCCAUCAACAGUAUGUCAUCCACAUACAAUAUGAGAAAUGCUACAGAGCUCCCACUCACUUUCUUGUAAAUGCAGGCUUCUCCAUAAGUCUGCAUAAACCCAAACGCUUUGAUCAUCUCAUCAAAACGAAUGUUCCAACUCCGAGAUGCUUGCACCAACCCAUAAAUCGAGCGUUGGAGCUUGCACACCUUGUCAGCAUUCUUAGGAUCGACAAAACCUUUCGGUUGCAUCAUAUACAAUUCUUCCUUAAGAAAACCAUUAAGGAAUGCCGUUUUGACGUCCAUUUGCCAUAUCUCAUAAUCAUAGAAUGCGGCAAUUGCUAACAUGAUUCGGACGGACUUCAGCUUCACUACAGAUGAGAAAGUCUCAUCGUAGUCAACCCCUUGAACUUGUCGAUAACCCUUAGCGACAAGCCGAGCUUUAUAGAUGGUCACAUUACCAUCCGUGUCUGUCUUCUUCUUAAAGAUCCAUUUAUUUUCUAUGGCUUGCCGAUCAACGGGCAAGUCAGUCAAAGUCCAUACUUCGUUUUCAUACAUGGAUCCUAUCUCGGAUUUCAUGGCUUCCAGCCAUUUGUCGGAAUCCGGGCCCGCCAUCGCUUCUUCAUAGUUCGAAGGUUCACCGAUGUCUAACAACAUGAUUUCCAAGACAGGGUUGCCGUACCACUCUGGUGUGGAAUGUGUCCUUGUGGAACUACGAACUUCAGUAGCAACUUGAUCUGAAGUUUCAUGAUCAUCAUCAUCAACUUCCUCUCUAGUCGGUGCAGGCACCUCAGGAACAUUUUCUUGAGCUGCGCCACUUACCGGUUCAAGAGGCAAUACUUCAUCAAGUUCUACUUUCCUCCCACUUAUUUCUUUCGAGAGAAACUCUUUCUCUAGAAAGGACCCAUUCUUGGCAACAAAGAUCUUGCCUUUGGAUCUGAGGUAGAAGGUAUACCCAACAGUUUCUUUAGGGUAUCCUAUGAAGAUGCAUUUUUCCGACUUGGGUUCGAGCUUUUCAGGUUGAAGUUUCUUGACAUAAGCAUCACAUCCCCAAACUUUUAGAAACGGCAGCUUAGGUUUCUUCCCAAACCAUAAUUCAUACGGUGUCGUCUCAACGGAUUUCGACGGAGCUCUAUUUAAAGUGAAUGCGGCAGUCUCUAAAGCAUAGCCCCAUAAUGACAUCAGUAAAUCGGUAAGAGACAGCAUAGAUCGCACCAUAUCUAAUAGAGUGCGAUUACGACGUUCGGAUACACCAUUACGCUGAGGUGUUCCAGGCGGCGUGAGUUGUGAAACUAUUCCACAUUUUCUUAAGUGUGUGCCAAAUUUGUGACUCAAGUAUUCUCCCCCACGAUCUGAUCGCAAGAACUUGAUUUUCCUGUCACGUUGAUUCUCAACCUCACUCUGAAAUUCCUUGAACUUUUCAAAGGUUUCGGACUUGUGUUUCAUUAAGUAGACAUACCCAUAUCUACUCAAGUCAUCAGUGAGGGUGAGAACAUAACGAUAGCCACCGCGAGCCUCAACACUCAUUGGACCGCACACAUCAGUAUGUAUGAUUUCCAAUAAGUUGGUUGCUUGCUCCAUUGUUCCUGAGAACGGAGUCUUGGUCAUUUUACCCAUGAGGCAUGGUUCGCACAUGUCAAAUGAUUCGUAAUCAAGAGACUCUAAAAGUCCAUCUGCAUGGAGCUUCUUCAUGCGUUUGACACCUAUGUGACCAAGGCGGCAGUGCCACAAGUAUGUGGGACUAUCAUUAUCAACUUUACAUCUUUUGGUAUUCACACUAUGAAUAUGUGUAGCAUUACGCUCGAGAUUCAUUAAGAAUAAACCAUUCACCAUCGGAGCAUGACCAUAAAACAUAUCUCUCAUAUAAAUAGAACAACCAUUAUUCUCGGAUUUAAAUGAGUAGCCAUCUCGAAUUAAACGAGAUCCUGAUACAAUGUUCAUGCUCAAAGCUAGCACUAAAUAACAAUUAUUGAGGUUUAAAACUAAUCCCAUAGGUAAAUGUAGAGGUAGCGUGCCGACGGCGAUCACAUCGACCUUGGAACCAUUCCCGACACAUAUCGUCACCUCGUCCUUCGCCAGUCUGCGCUUAUUCCGCAACUCCUGCUUUGAGUUACAAAUGUGAGCAACCGCACCGGUAUCAAAUACCCAGGAGCUACUACGAGUACUGGUAAGGUACACAACAAUUACAUGUAUAUCACAUAUACCUUUCGUGUUACCGGCCUUCUUGUCCGCUAAGUAUUUGGGGCAGUUCCGCUUCCAGUGACCACUUCCCUUGCAAUAAAAACACUCAGUCUCGGGCUUGGGUCCAUUCUUUGGCUUCUUCCCGGCAGCUUGCUUACCGGGCGCGGCAACUCCCUUGCCGUCCUUCUUGAAGUUCUUCUUACCCUUGCCUUUCUUAAACUUAGUGGUUUUAUUCACCAUCAACACUUGAUGUUCCUUUUUGACUUCUACCUCUGCUGAUUUCAGCAUUGAAUAUACUUCAGGAAUGGUCUUUUCCAUCCCCUGCAUAUUGAAGUUCAUCACAAAGCUCUUGUAGCUCGGUGGAAGCGACUGAAGGAUUCUGUCAAUGACCGCGUCAUCUAGGAGAUUAACUCCCAGCUGAGUCAAGCGGUUAUGCAACCCACACAUUUUGAGUAUGUGCUCACUGACAGAACUAUUUUCCUCCAUCAUACAGCUAAAGAACUUGUCGGAGACUUCAUAUCUCUUGACCCGGGCAUGAGCUUGAAAAACCAUUUUCAGCUCUUCGAACAUCUCAUAUGCUCCGUGUCUCUCAAAACGCUUUUGGAGCCCCGGUUCUAAGCUGUAAAGCAUGCCACACUGAACGAGGGAGUAAUCAUCAGCACGUGACUGCCAAGCAUUCAUAACGUCUUGGUUCUGUGGGACGGUUGCAUCACCUAGCGGUGCUUCUAGGACAUAAUCUUUCUUGGCAGCUAUGAGGAUGAUCCUCAGGUUCCAGACCCAGUUCGUAUAGUUGCUGCCAUCGUCUUUCAGCUUGGUUUUCUCUAGGAACGCGUUGAAGUUGAGGACAACAUGGGCCAUUUGAUCUACAAGACAUAUUGUAAAUAUUUUAGACUAAGUUCAUGAUAAUUAAGUUCAUCUAAUCAAAUUAUUCAAUGAACUCCCACUCAGAUAGACUUCCCUCCAGUCAUCUAAGUAUAACAUGAUCCGAGUUAACUAGGCCGUGUCCGAUCAUCACGUGAGACGGACUAGUCAACAUCGGUGAACAUCUUCAUGUUGAUCGUAUCUUCUAUACGACUCAUGCUCGACCUUUUGGUCUUCUGUGUUCCGAGGCCAUGUCUAUACAUGCUAGGCUCGUCAAGUUAACCUAAGUGUAUUGCAUGUGUAAAUCUGGCUUACACCCGUUGUAUUCGAACGUUAGAAUCUAUCACACCCGAUCAUCAUGUGGUGCUUCGAAACAACAAACCUUCACAACGGUGCACAGUUAGGGGGAACACUUUCUUGAAAUUAUUACGAGGGAUCAUCUUAUUUAAGCUACCGUCGUUCUAAGCAAAUAAGAUGUAAAACAUGAUAAACAUCACAUGCAAUCAAAUAGUGACAUGAUAUGUCCAAUAUCAUUUGCUCCUUUUGAUCUCCAUCUUCGGGGCUCCAUGAUCUUCGUUGUCACCGGCAUGACACCAUGAUCUCCAUCAUCAUGAUCUCCAUCAUCGUGUCUUCUUGAAGUUGUCUCGUCAUCUAUUACUUCUAAUACUAUGGCUAAUGCUUUAGCAAUAAAGUAAAGUAAUUACAUGACGUUUAUGUUGACAUGCAGGUCAUAAAUAAAUAAAGACAACUCCUAUGGCUCCUGCCGGUUGUCAUACUCAUCGACAUGCAAGUCGUGAUUCCUAUUACAAGAACAUGAUCAUCUCAUACAACACAUAUAUCAUUCAUCACAUCCUCUGGCCAUAUCACAUCACGAAACACUUGCUGCAAAAACAAGUUAGACGUCCUCUAAUUGUUGUUGCAAGUUUUUACGUGGCUGCUAUAGGUUUCUAGCAAGAACGUUUCUUACCUACGCCAAAACCACAACGUGAAUUGCCAAUUUCUAUUUACCCUUCAUAAGGACCCUGUUCAUCGAGUCCGAUCCGACUAAAGUGGGAGAGACAGACACCCGCCAACCACCUUAUGCAACUAGUGCAUGUCAAUCGGUGGAACCUGUCUCACGUAAGCGUACGUGUAAGGUCGGUCCGGGCUGCUUCAUCCCACGAUGCCGCCGAAUCAAGACAAGACUAGUAACGGCAAGCAAAUUGACAAUUUCGACGCCCACAACUGCUUUGUGUUCUACUCGUGCAUAGUAACUACGCAUAGACCUAGCUCAUGAUACCACCGUUGGGGAAUGUAGCAGAAUUUUAAAAUUUUCUACGCAUCACCAAAAUCUAUCUAUGGAGUCAUCUAGCAACGAGGGAGAGAGGAGUGAAUCUACAUACCCUUAUAGAUCACGAGCGGAAGCGUUCAAGAGAAUGGGGUUGAUGGAGUCGUACUCGUCGUGAUCCAAAUCACCGAAGAUCCUAGCGCCGAACGGACGGCACCUCCGCGUUUAACACAUGUACGGAGCAAGGACGUCUCCCGCGCCUUGAUCUAGAAAGGAGGAGGGAGAGGUUGAGGAAGAGGGCUCCAACAGCAGCACGACGGCAUGGUGGUGGUGAAGCUGCAGUACUCCGGCAGGGUUUCGCCAAGCUCUUACGGAGGAGGAGAGGUGUAGGGGAGGGGAGGGGCUGCGCCUUGGAUGUUGUAUGCAGCCCUCCCCUUGCCCCACUAUUUAUAGGGGAAGGAGGAAGGGGGCCGGAUCCCUCUAGAUGAGAUCUAGAGGGGGGGGGCGGCCAAGGGGAGGGGGCUUGCCCCCAAGCAAGGGGGGCGCCCCCUUUAGGGUUUCCCCCCAACCCUAGGCGCAUGGGCCCAAGGGGGGAUACGGCCAGCCCAUGUAGGGCUGGUUCCCCUUUCCUCUACAGCACAUUAGGCCCUCCGAGAGAGGUGGCCCCUCCCGGUGGACCCUCGGAACCCCUCCGGUGGCCCCGGUACACUACCGAUAUGCCCCCGAACCUUUCCGGUGAUCGUAUGACAACUUCCUACAUAUAAAUCUUCACCUACGGACCAUUCUAGAACUCCUCGUGACAUCCGGGAUCUCAUCUGGGACUCCGAACAACAUUCGGUAAUCACAUACAAGUAUUCCUAACAUCCCUAGCGUCACCGAACCUUAAGCGUGUAGACCCUACGGGUUCGGGAGACAUGCAGACAUGGCCGAGAUGACUCUCCGGUCAAUAACCAACAGCGGGAUCUGGAUACCCAUGUUGGCUCCCACAUGCUCCACGAUGAUCUCAUCGGAUGAACCACGAUGUCGAGGAUUCAAUCAAUCCGUAUACAAUUCCCUUUGUCAAUCGAUACAUUACUUGCCCGAGACUCGAUCGUCGGUAUCCCAAUACCUUGUUCAGUCUCUUUACCGGCAAGUCACUUUACUCGUACCGUAAUGCAUGAUCCUGUGAUCAACCACUUGAUCACAUUGAGCUCACUAUGAUGAUGCAUUAUCGAGUGGGCCCAGAGAUACCUCUCCGUCAUACGGAGUGACAAAUCCCAGUCUCGAUUCAUGCCAACCCAACAGACACUUUUGGAGAUACCUGUAAUGAACCUUUAUAGUCACCCAGUUACGUUGUGACGUUUGGCACACCCAAGGCACUCCUACGGUAUCCGGGAGUUGCACAAUCUCAUGGUCUAAGGAAAUGAUACUUGACAUUCAGAAAAGCUACAGCAAACGAACUACAUGAUCUUUCAGCUAUGCUUAGGAUUGGGUCUUGUCCGUCACAUCAUUCUCCUAAUGAUGUGAUCCCGUUAUCAAUGACAUCCAAUGUCCAUAGUCAGGAAACCAUGACUAUCUUUUGAUCAACGAGCUAGUCAACUAGAGGCUCACUAGGGACAUGUUGUGGUCUAUGUAUUCACACAUGUAUUACGAUUUCCGAAUAACACAAUUAUAGCAUGAACAAUAGAUAAUUAUCAUGAACAAAGAAAUAUAAUAAUGACCAUUUUAUUAUUGCCUCGAGGGCAUAUUUCCAACAGGUUUGCCCCCUUCCCUUGGCCCAUGAAGCCCCCAACACUUGCCGGGGCUCCCGAAACACCUUUCGGUUAUGCUGGUCAUCACCCGGUACCUCCGGAACACUUCCGGACUCCAAAACCCUUCAUCCAAUAUAUCAAUCUUCACCUCCGGACCAUUCCGGAACUCCUCGUGACAUCCGCGAUCUCAUCCAGGACUCCGAACAACAUUCGGUAACCGCGUACAUACUUUCCCUAUAACCCUAGCGUCAUCGAACCUUAAGUGUGUAGACCCUACGGGCUCGGGAAUAAUGCAGACAUGACUGAGACAUCUCUCUGGUCAAUAACCAACAACGGGAUCUGGAUACCCAUGUUGGCUCCUACAUGUUCCAUGAUGAUCUCAUUAGAUGAACCAUGAUGUCAAGGAUUCAAUCAAUCCCGUAUACAAUUCCCUUUGUCUACCGGUAUAGUACUUGCCCGAGAUUCGAUCGUCGGUAUCCCGAUACCUUGUUCAAUCUUGUUACCGGCAAGUCUCUUUACUCGUUCCGUAACACAUCAUCCCGUGAUCAACUCCUUGGUCACAUUGUGCACAUUAUGAUGAUGUCCUAUCGAGUAGGCCUAGAGAUACCUCUCCGUUUACACGGAGUGACAAAUCCCAGUCUUGAUUCGUGCCAACCUAAUAGACACUUUCGGAGAUACCCGUAGUGCACCUUUAUAGCCACCCAGUUACGUUGUGGCUUUUGGUACACCCAAAGCAUUCCUACGAUAUCCGGGAGUUGCACAAUCUCAUGGUCUAAUUAAAUGAUACUUGACAUUAGAAAAGCUUUAGCAGACGAACUCUACGAUCUUGUACUAGGCUUAGGAUUGGGUCUUGUCCAUCACAUCAUUCUCCUAAUGAUGUGAUCUCGUUAUCAAUGACAUCCAAUGUCCAUGGUCAGGAAACCAUGACCAUCUAUUGAUCAACGAGCUAGUCAACUAGAGGCUUACUAGGGACAUGUUGCGGUCUAUGUAUUCACACAUGUAUUACAGUUUCCGGUUAAUACAAUUAUAGCAUGAACAAUAGACAAUUAUCAUGAACAAUUAUAACCAUUUUAUUAUUGCCUCUAGGGCAUAUUUCCAACAGUCUCCCACUUGCACUAGAGUCAGUAAUCUAGUUCACAUCACUAUGUGAUUGCAAUGAAUCCAACACCCAUGGGGUUUGUUCAUAUCUUGCUUGUGAGAGAGGUUUAUUAGUCAAUGAGUCUGAACCUUUCAGAUCCAUGUGUGCUUUACAAAUCUCUAUGUCAUCUUGUAGAUGCAGCUACCACGCGCUACUUGGAGCUAUUCCAAAUAACUGUUCUACUAUACGAAUCCGGUUUACUACUCAGAGUCAUCCGGAUUAGUGUCAAAGUUUGCAUCGAUGUAACCCUUCAUGACGAACUCUUUUACCACAUCCAUAAUCGAGAAAAUUCCUUAGUCCACUAGUUACUAAGGAUAAGUUCGACCGCUAUCAUGUGAUCCAUUCCUGGAUCACCCUUGUACCCCUUGACUAACUAAUGGCAAGGCACACUUCAGGUGCGGUACACAACAUAGCAUAUUGUAGAGCCUAUGUCUAAAGCAUCGGGGACGACCUUCGUCCUUUCUCUCUCUUCUGCCGUGGUCAGGUCUUGAGUCUCACUCAAUGCUCAUACCUUGUAACAUAGCCAAGAACUUUGCUGAUCUAUUUUGAACUCCUUCAAAAUCUUGUCAUGGUAUGUAUUCAUUUGAAAGUACUAUUAAGCGUUUUUGAUCUAUCCUUAUAGAUCUUGAUGCUCAAUGUUCAAGUAGCUUAAUCCAGGUUUUCCAUUGAAAAACACUUUUCAAAUAACCCUGUAUGCUUUCCAGAAAUUCUACAUCAUUUUUGAUCAACAAUAUGUUAACAACAUAUACUAAUCAAAAAUUCUAUAGUGCUCCCACUCAUUUCUUUGGAAAUACAAGUUUCUCAUAAACUUUGUAUAAACCCAAAAUCUUUGAUCAUCUCAUCAAAGCAUAUAUUCCAAUUCCGAGAUGCUUACUCCAGUCCUUAGAAGGAUUGCUGGAGCUUUGCAUACUUGUUAGCAUCUUUUAGGAUUGACAAAACCUUCUGGUUGUAUCACAUACAACCUUUACUUAAGAAAAACAUCGAGGAAACAAUGUUUUGACAUCCUAUCUGCAAGAUUUCAUAAAUAAUGCAGUAACUGCUAACAUAAUUCCAACAGACUGUUAGCAUCGCUACGAGUGAGAAAGUCUCAUCGUAGUCAACUCCUUGAACUUGUCAGAAAACAUCUUAACGACAAGUCAAGCUUUCUUAAUGGUGACACUUACCUUCAUUGUCUGUCUUCCUUUAUGGCCUCGAGCCUUACGACCAUCAAGUAGUUCUUCCAAAGUCUAUACUUUGUUUUUAUACAUGGAUCCUCUCUUGGAUUUUAUGGCCUCGAGCCAUUCGUCGAAAUCCGGGCCCACCAUCGCUUCUCCAUAGCUCGUAGGUUCAUUGUUGUCUAGCAACAUGACUUCCAAGACAGGAUUGCGUACCACUCUGAAGUAGUAUGCAUCCUUGUCGACCUAUGAGGUUUGGUAGUGACUUGAUCCGAAGUUUCAUGAUCACUAUCAUAAGCUUCCACUUCAAUUGGUGUAGGUGCCAUAGGAACAACUUCCUGUGCCCUGCUACACACUAGUUGAAGUGACGGUUCAAUAACCUCAUCAAGUCUCCACCAUCCUCGAGAAAGGACCUGUAGCGACCCGACCCGAAUGGAUCAAGUCUCUGUGCUUAAGUGUCAUCCCUGGAUCGGUAUGCUGACACACACAGUACUCGAGGAUUUAUAACAGAGGUAAAUCACAUGUAUAAGUAACGUAAAUCCUAUUACCUCAAUCCAAAAUAGCGGAAGUAACAAGGUUGUGGAUUCCCAUCAACACCAAUGGCAAAGUUGAGUGUAGAAAUCGUAACCCUAAGGUAUCACUUACUCGUCGUAAGAUAAACCUGCAACAUGAGAUGUUGCAGCCACAAAGGGUCAGUACAUUGAAUGUACUGGCAAAUUCACACCAUAGAGAAUGAUGAACAAUGACUAUCACUACAUGCAUAUUUGGCUGGUGGAAAAGCUCUAUGGUUAUAUGGUUUUUGCGAAAAGCCAAUUUUUCCCUACUGCAAAGGAAUAAAUUUUAUUUAACUAUCAUGGUGGUUGUUGAACAUUGAGAAUGGUUGAUAGUAUUCUCAAUCCCAAUUAAGUAACAUCAUUUAACCCAACAAAAUUAAUUUAAAGUAACAUGAUGAGAUUCACAUGAUAAUCCAGGUACUAGAUACUCAAGACGUCCAUAACCGGGGACAAGGCUAAUCAUGAUUAGUUUAUACACUCUGCAGAGGUUUGCGCACUUUUCCCCACAAGACUCGAUCGCCUCCGUUUGGUUUCUCGCACUACAUGGUGUUUGAGAAGAUGGAUGACUGAGACAUACUCUUUCAGAAGCGCUAGCACCUUACGAUGGAUAGACCGUUACACCUACUUUCCCCUACAUCUACUAGUCUACCCUGUAAGAGUUCGCACGACUUAAUCAACUAUGCUAGAGCCCAUAAUAGCUUGUGGCUGCACACGGAAGUUUCUAGUAUGAAAAAUCUCAUGAUCCCUUUGAGCCUGGGUGGCGGUCCAUAAAAAAAACAGGCAAUCCUGGUCUACCCAGGUGCCUAGACAGGCAAUCCUAGAAUAACCAGGUACCUCAAUCCACCUAGAUGUGUGUUUAAGUUUCCACCUUAAGAAAACCAUUAAUUAACAAUCUCACAUCUGUCAUGGAUACUCUCAAAACCCAAUCCACGUCUAUGAGCAUAGCAUGGCACUAUAAGCAUGACGUAAUAGUAACUCCCAAGGUUUGGAUGCAGGGCAAUAGGUUCCUACCUCAUCAACUACUUCCCAAUACCCACAUGUUAUCAAUCCUACUCAUGCAAUGUUUGAGGGUGAAACUAAUGCAUAAAAACUGGGUAUGAAAAGGGAUAUGAUCAAAGUGUGAACUUGCCUGCAAUGUUGAUGAAGAUGAUUCGCACUCAAAACUCUUGAUAGAUCUACUCGUCACACUCCGGUCAAUCUAUCGUAAUCAAGCAAUAGUAACCACACAUAAGCAAUCACUCAAAAGACCAGUAAGAUCGAAGACAAUUCAGAAAACAUCAAAACCAAGCAAAUAACUCUUGCAACAUAAAACAAUUUCUAACAGUACCAAAAUUAUGUGAAUUUGGCCUUAUUAGAAUGUUUAGGUCAAGAGCUUCGAUUUGCAAAAAGAAUCAACUCAAACGAAGUUAUGAAACUCAAGUUAUGAUCAAACGAAGUUUGAAUUCAAAUAUGAUCUAAUUCAAAUUUCAAUACUUUCAAAAACAUGUUUAAGUUGUUUUACUGGAUAGAGGAGAUCGUAACGAAGACGUGAGUUUGGUUUCGUUGGAUUUGGACAAACAAGCGAAAAGUUACGGUGUUUUGAAGAUCAGGGGCUAUUCUGCAAAUAACUUAUUCACAAACGGGUCCCUGGUGAAAAAAAAUUCAAAAGAAAAAAAAGAAAAAUCUAAAUAGCGAACGUUCGUUACAGAACACUAACGAACGAAAUCGUUCGCUAGAUCUACCUAAACAGAGAACGAUCGUUAAAUAACUAAACUGACAAAAAAAACUAAACCAAAAGAAAGCUGAAGAAAACCGAAUCGGUUUUAUUACCGGUUCGGCAACGGUUCUCGACGACGACGGCGGUUACUCCGGCGAGAUGGCGCGGGGCUCCUACAAGAGCGGCGAGCUCCGGCGCGGCGGCGGCAGCGGCGUCGAUGGGCGGAGGCUACGCGGGCAGCGGCGUUGCGGCGCGGCAAGGCGUUGCGGCAGAGGCGGCAAAGCGCGGCGGCGAGAUGCGGCACAAGGGCGGCGGUGUGAGGCAUGCUCCGGCGAGGUGCGGGCGGGGAGAGAAGAGGAGGCGGGGCCGGGCGCGCUAUUUAAGGGCGGCGGAGGCGAGGUGGUGGCGUGGGCGAGGGGGUGACGGGCACCGUGGAGGCGGUGGACUCCAGCGAGUCCCGCUGGGGCAUGUGAGAAGGAAGGCGGCGGCGCGCUGGCUGGGCCGGGCCGUGGCAUAUUGGGCCGGCCCAGUUCGGUGGCGGAGGAGAAAGUUUUUUUUUACAUUUUAACAGACAAAGAAAAAUAAACAAACAAAAUAAAUAAAUUUUUUAUACAGGCAUAUAAUAUAUCAAAAUUUUCAGAAAAAUAUUUUCUAUAACAUGAACAUUUUUCUUGCGUUAAAUAAAAUACAUAUAAAUUCUAAUAAUUCAAAGAGUGCUCCUGCUCUAAUAAAAUCCAAUAAAAAUCAUUUAAAAAAAUACCAAAAUGAUUUCAAAUUAAUUUUUCUCCAAUUUUCUAAUGUAGGGAAUCAUGUUACCCUAUUUUCCAUAUAUUUUAUUUUUUGGAGAAAAAUAAUUUGAAUAAAACUCAAAUAACUCCAAAUUGAAAGUAAAUUCAAAAAGGACUUUCAAAUUGAUUCUUUGAAACUCCCAACUCAUAUUUCAUAUAAUUUGAAGAAGUCAUUUUAUCUUCGCUCGUGAAAAUCAUUGAGUUGCAUAAAGUUUCAGAAUUGGAAAUAUUCUCAAAUGAAAUUCAAAUAUUUUUAACACCCCUUGUCAUUUAAAUAAAUGGAAGAAGUCUUGUCAUCUUCUCUCCAGGGUUUCAUGUUGAAAAGAAUUUGAAUUCCCGGAGAUCAUAAAUGCAAAAUGAAAGUUUGGGAAAGUCCUUUUAUUCCCUCUCAUUUAACUUUGAAAAAGUUUCGAAUUCACUCACUUUCAGACAAUCAAUCAAAUCUAUCUAUUUAUUAUAACAUUCCAAAAUUUAGAAUUUUGGGAUGUUAGAAACCUACCACCCUUAAAAUGAAUCUCGUCCUCGAUAUUCGGAGAAGCUAGCAAGAAAAGGUUAGGGUUUGGGGGUCUCCUCAAAAUCCAUCAAUCAUCACCGGGGUCUGGGUGCUACCACCCUUAAAAUCAUUGUUACGGUUCCAUCAAAACUCAUAUACUCCAUCCUUAUUCUUGACAGUGUCGGUCUCCUCAGAUCUUUAGUAUAAUUCCUUUCUCUGGGCUCUUCCGGUAACGGCAUAACCUUUUCCUCAAUUCUUUUCUCCUUUCAUCUUGGUAAGGUUAUUCUGAGACUGGGUCUUCUUACCUGACGGGUCUGGCGCCAAAACUAAACAACUAUCAAUAUCUCAUGGUGGUCAACAAUUUAUGGUUUCUCCUGCAGGAAAUGGGUCUGGGUUGAUCCUCACCGUAUAACCUACGGUUGGCAAAGUUGCCUUGUACAAGGGAAAAAAUUUCUUAUACCAUUCUAAGGUUUAAACAGGGUUUUGAUCGUCGUCUCUUUACUAUAGGUAAGUCACUCAGAUUUACCAUCCCACAUAGCAAGGCGAAUAAUAAGAGUAAGUCGGUAUGGUGAUCAAUCCAUCCCGCACCCAAAUCAUUACCCUGUAUAUGCUUUAGUGAAUCUCGCAUUCUAACACUCGAUCAUCCUCACAAGCAUUGCAGAAUUUCUCUUGUCGACGAACCAAGGUUCGGAUAAAUCCAUUGAUUCUGUAAACCAAACAAACAUCUAUCGUUCCUUCACAACUCUCAGGUUUUGCGUUACUCCUAUAAAAUCGUCUGUCGACAAAGGUAUAUCCUCUUCCAGGGUUCUUCCUUUAGCAAGAAUGUGCUUGCUUCUUGGCUGGUCUUGGGGCCUGUGGGUUAUGGCCCAUCUCAUCACUUGCAAACCUUGAACUCAUCAUCGGGGCAACGGAUCUCUAAUCCAACAUCCAACUUCCAGCUUCCUAGUAUACUAAAAUCCAUCCAGUUGUACUAUCUUCCUUCCUUCUGUUGGUACCAAACUAGGACAUGAUUACUCAGGCUCAUCAUGGAAUUUCCAUUGAUCCAUAUUUCCAACAUCAUACCUCCUUUAUAUCCAAUGGUAACUCAUCUCUUCAUCCUCAUGGGAUAUCCCUCAUACUGAGAUAAAAACUUAUACUUAUGAAGUCCAUAUUCCACUUCGUGGAACAUCAUUAUCGUUUCCAGGGUCAAGCGUCUUUACAGGGAAAUAUUGGCCAUCUCUGCAUGGCACUUCUUCAACUGGGAAAACGUGAAACACAUCAUGAACACCUGACAGUCCUUCGGGUAACUCCAACUUGUAGGCCACUUCUCUCAUACGCUCCAAAACUCGGUAUGGUCCUACAAAUCUCGGGGCUAACUUUCCCUUAACUCCAAAUCGUUUAAUUCCUCACAGAGAGAACACAUGAAGACAUGCUCUGUCUCCAAUUUCAUAGACUACCUCCUUGCGUUUUUAAGUCUGCAUAACUCUUUUGCCUGGACUGAGCUACCUUCAGUCUAUCUCGAAUCAACUUAACAUUCUCUUCUGACUCCUUGAUCACAUUUGGUCCAAACAACUGACGGUCUCCAACUUCAUCCCACAUACUCUUGGGGCAUAACACAUAUCGAGACAAAACUCGUAUUCAUUUUGUCCGAAAUCCACUCAGUGGAGUAUCCUUAUCUUUUCCAGGGGUCAACGGUUCUUACAGGGUACUACCACCCUUAAAAUGCAGAAAUCUUCCAUAGACCAUAUUUCUCAUAUCCUCAGAAUGGCCAAAAUCCUUCUUCAUAGAGUAACAACUCAUAAAAUCCAUAUCAGUUCCAAUGAUGCUAACUUUAUUCAUUCUCAAGUGAUUACAAUCUCUCGCUUUUCCAUUACAUGUCUCAACUCAACACCUCAAUAUAAAAGAAAAUGUUCUCACUUCUACUACUCCAUUUCUUUUGUUGCAACUCAACUAUCUAGCACAAGUUUCCUUCUCCUUGGGGCAUUCUCUGGCAAAGUGCCCUGCUCCAUUACAACUAAAACAUAUUACUUCUGGCAAGUAUUGAGGUUUCCUUUUUUGGGCAACUGUUGAGGUAGUGCCCUGACUCCUUGCACCUGUAACAGGUGAUAUGACUCGGAUCCUUCCUGGAAUCCACUCUGCUUCUCUUUCUGGACUUUUCCAUUUCAAUCAGGGCUUCUAUUUCCUGUGGGUCAUAUUCUACUUCCUCUGCCGGGAAUUCUACUAGAUCCCCAUUCAAACAAUUUUGGGAGAUGUGUCCUUCUUCUUCACAUGAAUAGCAAGACUUAGUGAAAGGUUUACUCGGGUCUUCUUUAGGUGUGUCCUCCAUCUCUUCCUUCAUCACGGGUUCUUCUAAAAUUUCCAUAAGGGCUCCUUUCAUUACUUCUUUCUUCUGCUAGAUGGUUCAUUGUUCCAUGGGGUAAAUGUGACACUGAGCAGGAUAGUGGGUAGUCCCUUCACGCAAGAAACAAGUAAUCUGCCUAGUUGGGCAUUCUUCAACUGGGUGACUUUCUUCACAAUUCGGGCAUUCAUCCUUGUGUUCUUUAUGGGUGUGUCCUAUUUCUCCACAAAUCUUGCAUGCACAAGGUUUCUUCAUAUCCUUUCCAUAAGGCUUCAACUUCUGGGACACAAGCCGAGACUUUGGCAGAGUCAACUUAAAUUCUUUCCAAGUGGUUACUCCUUGCCAUCCAUUGAUGGUUUGGUACAUCCUCCACCAAGUAGCAGCACCUCUCUCAAAGCACUGAAGAGCAUGCUGGGUCAUAUCCUUUCCGACUAUAGGGUUAUUCUCCAUGUGAUCCUCCAUGUUAUGAAUCCAUCGGUCCGUCUCCAACUGACUCAUCGGUCCAGAAAAUACAAGCUCAUUUUCAUUCAUCCUCUAUUGGGUCCAUGGGUUUGGGGUGAGAUAAGAGAGAUAGAGAGGGAUACACACAAUACAAACAAAAGUUUUGAAAAGACAGAUUUUAUUGUGGCUAUCGGAAAACAUCAAACAAAUGACAGCUCACAAUCAUCGCAUCUAACGUAGGUGUAUAACAGGGGUUUGGUCUUCUAAAGGUCAAUAAAUCUUCAAGGUUGUAUAACUCUUCAAGUCUUGUUCAUGCCUCCAAUGGCUUCUUCCAGUCAUACUUGUCUUUCUCAAGUCCUUUUGCCAGCUCAUCUCUGCUGUAGCAAAGUCUCUGGUGACAUCCUUGAAUAUUCUGGGGUUGCAUUCCAAACUUCUGGGUUUCAACAUCCUUGGCAUGAGCCAUGGUCAUACUGUCCUUCAGUUCCUGACAAAUCUCCGGUAUCUCGAGGUUGUAGCUCCUCCAUCUUGGCUACUCUCAUCUUCAGGGUCCUGAGUUCCUCAUGAAAUACUUCCUUGUCAAAAUACCGCUUCUUGUAGGUCCAUCUUAACUUCUUGAUGUAAUACUCCAGAUCCUGGUGAUACACCGGCUAAGGUUAAAACUUCAUCUUACUAAUAGGUGCUCCAUCAGCCUUCUUCCAUCAAAUCCAUUCUGAAGAAAUGCAUCCUUAACUCAGCAUGGGGACAAUAGCAUCAGCGGGCGAUAACAUCAUGGAUAGCCGUGUUUUUGCUCCUGUCAUUUCCAUGAGCUAUCUCUCCAUAGUUGAUAUCUCCUGACUUAGGGUUUUAUUUGACAAAACUUCGAGUUCUCAUGCUCCUUGUUUCAGUCUUUCUCUGAUACACCUUGAUCUCGGGUAUUGACAACUUCCAUAAUCUAUCAAGUUCCAUAAGGGUAGCCUUCCUAGGUCAUACAAAUCUAGGGAUUCUUCAGAGCCUUCAAAUUCUACUUGUCUUCGGUCUUCAACCGUUGUAGUUUCCAUUAUUCAGAUGCACGGAAAAUACUCUUCAUUCCGAAGUGGCCUUAGUUGUCCGAUAUCUUGUACUUCUUGGAGUGGUCUCAUCAGUCGAAUCUUCAAGUGGUCAAAAGGGGAAAAGGGGUAUGGUCUCACUAAAGGGAAUUUUUGAAUAAGCUCAGAAGAGAAGAGAGGUAAAAGAUCUUAUGAAAGGGAAAGUUGUAGAGAAAAUCUUUGCUAUGGGCUUGCCAGUUUCUAGGGUCACGUCCUACAGUCAACAUGUGCUCUGAUACAAUCUUGUAGCGACCCGACCCGAAUGGAUCAAGUCUCUGUGCUUAAGUGUCAUCCCUGGAUCGGUAUGCUGACACACACAGUACUCGAGGAUUUAUAACAGAGGUAAAUCACAUGUAUAAGUAACGUAAAUACUAUUACCUCAAUCCAAAAUAGCGGAAGUAACAAGGUUGUGGAUUCCCAUCAACACCAACGGCAAAGUUGAGUGUAGAAAUCGUAACCCUAACGUAUCACUUACUCGUCGUAAGAUAAACCUGCAACAUGAGAUGUUGCAGCCACAAAGGGUCAGUACAUUGAAUGUACUGGCAAAUUCACACCAUAGAGAAUGAUGAACAAUGACUAUCACUACAUGCAUAUUUGGCUGGUGGAAAAGCUCUAUGGUUAUAAGGUUUUUGCGAAAAGCCAAUUUUUCCCUACUGCAAAGGAAUACAUUUUAUUUAACUAUCAUGGUGGUUGUUGAACAUUGAGAAUGGUUGACAACAUUCUCAAUCCCAAUUAAGUAACAUCAUUUAACCCAACAAAAUUAAUUUAAAGUAACAUGAUGAGAUUCACAUGAUAAUCCAGGUACUAGAUACUCAAGACGCCCAUAACCGGGGACACGGCUAAUCAUGAUUAGUUUAUACACUCUAUUGAGGUUUGCGCACUUUUCCCCACAAGACUCGAUUGCCUCCGUUUGGUUUCUCGCACUACAUGGUGUUUAAGAAGAUGGAUGACCGAGACAUAGUCUUUCAGAAGCACUAGCACCUCACGAUGGAUAGACCAUUACACCUACUUUCCCCUACAUCUGCUAGUCUACCCUGUAAGAGUUCGCACGACUUAAUCAACUAUGCUAGAGCCCAUAAUAGCUUGUGGCUGCACACGGAAGUUUCUAGUAUGAAAAAUCUCAUGAUCCCUUUGAGCCUGGGUGGCGGUCCAAAAAAACAGGCAAUCCUGGUCUACCCAGGUGCCUAGACAGGCAAUCCUAGAAUAAUCAGGUACCUCAAUCCACCCAGAUGUGUGUUUAAGUUGCCACCUUAAGUAAACCAUUAAUUAACAAUCUCACAUCUGUCAUGGAUACUCUCAAAACCCAGUCCAUGUCUACGAGCAUAGCAUGGCACUAUAAGCAUGACGUAAUAGUAACUCCCAAGGUUUGGAUGCAGGGCAAUAGGUUCCUACCUCAUCAACUACUUCCCAAUACCCACAUGUUAUCAAUCCUACUCAUGCAAUGUUUGAGGGUGAAACUAAUGCAUAAAAACUGGGUAUGAAAAGGGAUAUGAUCAAAGUGUGAACUUGCCUGCAAUGUUGAUGAAGAUGAUUCGCAAUCAAAACUCUUGAUAGAUCUACUCGUCACACUCCAGUCAAUCUAUCGUAAUCAAGCAAUAGUGACCACACAUAAGCAAUCACUCAAAAGACCAGAAAGAUCGAAGAAGACAAUUCAGAAAACAUCAAAACCAAGCAAAUAACUCUCGCAACACAAAACAAUUUCUAACAGUACCAAAAUUAUGUGAAUUUGGCCUUAUUAGAAUGUUUAGGUCAAGAGCUUCGAUUUGCAAAAAGAAUCAACUCAAAUGGAGCUACGAAACUCAAGUUAUGAUCAAACGAAGUUUGAAUUCAAAUCUGAUCUAAUUCAAAUUUUAAAACUUCCAAAAACAUGUUUAAGUUGUUUUAAUGGAUAGAGGAGAUCAUAACGAAGACGUGAGCGUUGGUUUCAUUGGAUUUGGACAAACGAGCGAAAAGUUACGGUGUUUUGAAGAUCACAGGCUAUUCUGCAAAUAAUUUAUUCACAAACGGGUCCCUGGUGGAAAAAAAUUAAAAAGAAAGAAAAGAAAAAUCUAAAUAGCGGACAUUCGUUACAGAACACUAACGAACGAAAUCAUUCGCUAGAUCUACCUAAACAGAGAACGAUCGUUAAAGAACUAAACUGACAAAAAAAACUAAACCAAAAGAAAGCCGAAGAAAACCGGAUCGGUUUUAUUACCGGUUCGGCAACGGUUCUCGACGAUGACGGUGGUUACUCCGGCAAGAUGGCGCGGGGCUCCNNNNNNNNNNNNNNNNNNNNNNNNNNNNNNNNNNNNNNNNNNNNNNNNNNNNNNNNNNNNNNNNNNNNNNNNNNNNNNNNNNNNNNNNNNNNNNNNNNNNNNNNNNNNNNNNNNNNNNNNNNNNNNNNNNNNNNNNNNNNNNNNNNNNNNNNNNNNNNNNNNNNNNNNNNNNNNNNNNNNNNNNNNNNNNNNNNNNNNNNNNNNNNNNNNNNNNNNNNNNNNNNNNNNNNNNNNNNNNNNNNNNNNNNNNNNNNNNNNNNNNNNNNNNNNNNNNNNNNNNNNNNNNNNNNNNNNNNNNNNNNNNNNNNNNNNNNNNNNNNNNNNNNNNNNNNNNNNNNNNNNNNNNNNNNNNNNNNNNNNNNNNNNNNNNNNNNNNNNNNNNNNNNNNNNNNNNNNNNNNNNNNNNNNNNNNNNNNNNNNNNNNNNNNNNNNNNNNNNNNNNNNNNNNNNNNNNNNNNNNNNNNNNNNNNNGGCGUCGCGGCAGAGGCGGCAAAGCGCGGCGGCAAGAUGCGGUGCAAGGGCGGCGGCGCGAGGCAUGCUCCGGCGAGGUGCGGGCAGGGAGAGAAGAGGAGGCGGGGCCGGGCGCGCUAUUUAAGGGCGGCGGAGGCGAGGUGGUGGCGUGGGCGAGGGGGCGAUGGGCGACGUGGAGGCGGCGGACUCCGGGAGUCCCGCUGGGGCACGCGAGAAGGAAGGCGGCGGCGCGCUGGCUGGGCUAGGCCGUGGCCUGUUGGGCCGACCCAGUUCGGUGGCGGAGGAGAAAGUGUUUUUUACAUUUUAACAGACAAAGAAAAAUAAACAAACAAAAUAAAUAAAUUUUUUAUAUAGGCAUAUAAUAUAUCAAAAUUUUCAAAAAAAUAUUUUCUAUAACAUGAACAUUUUUCUUGUGUUAAAUAAAAUAGACAUAAAUUCUAAUAAUUCAAACAGUGCUCCUGCUCUAAUAAAAUCCAAUAAAAAUCAUUUUAAAAAAAAUACCAAAAUGAUUUCAAAUUAAUUUUUCUCCAAUUUUCUAAUGUAGGGAAUCAUGUUACCCUAUUUUCCAUAUAUUUUAUUUUUUGGAGAAAAAUAAUUUGAAUAAAACUCAAAUAACUCCAAAUUGAAAAUAAAUUCAAAAAGGACUUUGAAAUUGAUUCUUUGAAACUCCCAACUCAUAUUUCAUAUAAUUUGAAGAAGUCAUUUUUCUUUGCUCGUGAAAAUCAUUGAGUUGCAUAAAGUUUCAGAAUUGGAAAUAUUCUCAAAUGAAAUUCAAAUAUUUUUAACACCCCUUGUCAUUUAAAUAAAUGGAAGAAGUCAUGUCAUCUUCUCUCCAGGGUUUCGUGGUGAAAAGAAUUUGAAUUCCCAGAGAUCAUAAAUGCAAAAUGAAAGUUUGGGAAAGUCCUUUUAUUCCCUCUCAUUUAACUUUCAAAAAGUUUCAAAUUCACUGACUUUCAGACAAUCAAUCAAAUCUAUCUAUUUAUUAUAACAUUCCAAAAUUUAGAAUUUUGGGAUGUUACAGCACCCGUUUCUAGAAACAAUCACUUUUGCUUCCGGAUCUGAAAUAGGAGGUAUACCCAACUAUUUUUGGGUAUUCUAUGAAGAUGCAUUUAUCCGCUUUGGGUUCAAGCUUAUCAGCAUGAAACUUUUUCACAUAAGCAUCGCAGCCCCGAACUUUUAAGAAACGACAGCUUAGGUUUCUCUAAACCAUAGUUCAUAUGGUGUCAUCUCAACGGAAUUGUGUGGUGUCCUAUUUAAAGUGAAUGCGGUUGUCUCUAAUGCCUAACCCAUAAAUGAUAGUGGUAAUUCGAUAAGAGACAUCAUGGUAUGCACCAUAUCCAAUAGGGUGCAGUUAUGAUGUUCGGACACACCAUUACACUAUGGUGUUCCAGGCGGUAUUAGUUGUGAAACAAUUUCCACAAUGUCUUAAUUGUGUACCAAACUUGUAACUCAGAUAUUCAUCUCUAUGAUCAUAUCAUAGACAUUUUAUCCUCUUGUCACGACGAUCUUCAACUUCACUCUGAAAUUACUUAAACCCUUCAAUAAUUCAGACUUGUGUUUCAUCAAGUAAAUAUACUCAGCAUCUACUCAAAUCAUCUGUGAAGUAUGAACAUAACGAUAUCCACUGCGUGCCUCAGCACUCAUUGGACUGCACACAUCAAAAUGUAUUACUUCCAACAAGUUGCUUUCUUGUUCCAUCUUACUGAAAACGAGGCCUUUCAGUCAUCUUACCCAUGUGGUAUGAUUUGCAUGUCUCAAGUGAUUCAAAAUCAAGUGAGUCCAAACGAUCCAUCUGCAUGGAGUUUCUUCAUGCAUAUCUACCAAUAGACAUGGUUCACAUGUCUCAAUCUUUUCAAAAAUGAGUGAGUCCAAAGAUCCAUCAACAUGGAGCUUCUUCAUGCGUUUUAUACCAACAUGACUCAAAUGGCAGUGCCACAAGUACAUGGUACUAUCAUUACUAUCUUAUAUCUUUUGGCAUGAACAUGUGUAUCACUACGAUCGAGAUUCAAUAAACCAUUCAUUUUAGGUGCAAGACCAUUGAAGGUAUUAUUCAAAUAAACAGAGUAACCAUUAUUCUCCUUAAAUGAAUAACCGUGUGGCAAUAAACAUAAUCCAAUCAUGUCUAUGCUCAACACAAACACCAAAUAACAAUUAUUUCAGUUUAACACCAAUCCCGAUGGUAGAGGGAGCGUGCGAUGUUUGAUCACAUCAACCUUGGAAACACUUCCAACACAUAUCGUCAUCUCACCUUUAGCUAGUCUCUGCAGCCUUUUAUUUCGAGUUACUAACGCUUAGCAACCGAACCGGUAUUUAUUACCCUGGUGCUACUAGGAGUACUAGUAAAGUACACAAUAAUAUGACGUAUAUCCAAAAUACUUCUGUUGACCUUGCCAGCCUUCUCAUCUACCAAGUAUCUAGGGUAGUUCUACUUCAGUGACCGUUCCCCUCAUUAUAGAAGCACUUAGUCUCGAGUUUGGUUCAACCUUGGGUUUCUUCACUAGAGGAGCAACUGAUUUGCCGUCUCAUGAAGUAUCCCUUCUUUCCCUUGCCCUUCUUGAAACUAGUGGUUUAACCAUCAACAAUUGAUGCUCCUACAUGAUUUCUACUUUCGCCGUGUCAAACAUCGCGAGUUGCUCAAGGAUCAUCAUGUCUAUCCCUGAUAUGUUAUAGUUCAUCACGAAGCUCCAAUAGCUUGGUGGCAGUGACUAUGGAGAACCAUCACUAUCUCAUCUGGAAGAUUAAAUCCCACUCGAUUCAAGCAAUUGCAGUACUCAGACAAUCUGAGCACAAGCUCAACAAUUGAGUUUUUCUCCCUUAGUUUGCAGGCUUAAGAAACUUGUCAGAGGUCUCAUACCUCUUGACGUGGGCACUAGUCUGAAAUCCCAAUUUCAGUCUUUGGAACAUCUCAUAUGUUCUGCGAUGUUUCAAAAAACGUCUUUGGUGCCAUAAUUCUAAACUGUUAGCAUUACGCAAUGAACUAUCACGUAGUCAUUAAAACAUGUAUGUGAGAUGUUUCCCAACAUCUAUAGACGACGCUCGAGGUUCAACACACUAAGCGGUGCAUUAAGGACAUAACCCUUCUGUGCAGCAAUGAGGACAACCCUCAGUUCACGGACCCAGUCCGCAUAAUUGCUACUGUCAACUCUCAACUGAAUUUUCUCUAGGAACAUAUCUAAAAUAGUAGAACCAAAGCGUGAGCUACGACAUAAUUUGCAAAGACCUUUUGACUCUGUUCAUGAUAAUUAAGUUCAUCUAAUCAAAUUAUUCAAUGAACUCCCACUUAGAUAGACAUCCCUCUAGUCAUCUAAGUGAUACAUGAUCCGAGUCAACUAGGCCAUGUCCGAUCAUCACGUGAGACGGACUAGUCAUCAUCGGUGAAUAUCUUCAUGUUGAUCGUAUCCACUAUACGACUCAUGUUCGACCUUUCGGUCUUCCGUGUUCCGAGGCCAUGUCUGUACAUGCUAGGCUCGUCAAGUUAACCUAAGUGUAUUGCGUGUGUAAAUCUGGCUUACACCCGUUGUAUGCGAAUGUUAGAACCUAUCACACCCGAUCAUCACGUGGUGCUUUGGAACAACGGACCUUAGCAACGGUGCACAGUUAGGGGGAACACAAUUCUUGAUAUUUUAAUGAGGGAUCAUCUUAUUUAUGCUACCGUCGUUCUAAGAAAAUAAGAUGUAAAAACAUGACAAACAUCACAUGCAAAUCAUAAAGUGACAUGAUAUGGCCAAUAUCAUCUUGCGCCUUUAAUUUCCAUCUUUGAGGCGCGGCAUGAACACAAUCGUCACCGGCAUGACACCAUGAUCUCCAUCAUCAUGAUCUCCAUCAUCGUGUCUUCAUGAAGUUGCCUCACCAACUAUUACUUCUACUACUAUGGCUAACGGUUAGCAAUAAAGUAAAGUAAUUACAUGGCGUUUUCAUUGACACGCAGGUCAUAAAUAAAUUAAGACAACUCCUAUGGCUCCUGCCGGUUAUCAUACUCAUCGACAUGCAAGUCGUGAUUCCUAUUACAAGAACAUGAUCAAUCUCAUACAUCACAUAUAUCAUUCAUCACAUCCUUUGGCCAUAUAACAUCACAUAGCAUACCCUGCAAAAACAAGUUAGACGUCCUCUAAUUGUUGUUGCAUGUUUUACGUGGCUGCUAUGGAUUUCCUGCAAGAAUGUUUCUUACCUAUGCAAAACCACAACGGUGAUAUGCCAAUUGCUAUUUACCCUUCAUAAGGACCCUUUUCAUUGAAUCUGAUCCGACUAAAGUGGGAGAGACAGACACCCGCCAGCCACCUUAUGCAUCAAGUGCAUGUCAGUCAGAGGAACCUGUCUCACGUAAGUGUACGUGUAAGGUCGGUCCGGGCCGCUUCAUCCCACAAUGCCGCCGAAUCAAGAUAAGACUAGUAACAGCAAGCAAAUUGAACAAAUCAUCACCCACAACUACUUUGUGUUCUACUCGUGCAUAGAAUCUAUGCAUAGACCUAGCUCUGAUACCAUUGUUGGGGAUCGUAGCAUAAAUUUAAAAUUUUCUACGCAUCACCAAGAUUAAUCUAUGGAGUAAUAUAGCAACGAGGGGAAGGGGAGUGCAUCUACAUACCCUUGUAGAUCGCUAAGCGGAAGCGUUACUAGAACGCGGAUGAGGUAGUCGUACUCGUAGCGAUUCAGAUCGCGGUCGAUUUCGAUCUAAGCACCGAACAACGGCGCCUCCGCGUUCAACACACGUGCAGCCCGGUGACGUCUCCCAUGCCUUGAUCCAGCAAGGAGAGAGGGAGAGGUUGGGGAAGACUCCGUCCAACAGCAGCACGACGGCGUGGUGGUGGUGGAGGAGCACGGUACUCCAGCAGGGCUUCGCCAAGCACUACGAGAGACGAGGAGGGAGAGAGGUAGGGCUGCGCGUUGGGAGAGAGAGACUCGUGGGUUGUGCAGCCCCAAAACCUCCACUAUAUAUAGGGGCAAGGGCAAGGGGAGGCGCCCUAGGGUUUCCCCUAGGGGGUGAGCGGUGGCCAGGGCAGAUGGGAUCUCCCCUUUGGGUGACUUGGCCCCCAAGCCAGGAACUGGGAACCCUAGAUGGGGCGCCCCAAACCCCCCGGUCACAUGGGAAUAGGUGAGGGGGGCGCACAGCCCCUUAGUGGGAUGGUUUGCCCCCUUCCCUUGGCCCAUGAAGCCCCCCCAACAAUUGCGGGGGCUCCCGAAACACCUUUCGGUCAUGCUGGUCAUCACCCGGUACCUCCGGAACACUUCCGGACUCCAAAACCCUUCGUCCAAUAUAUCAAUCUUCACCUCCGGACCAUUCCGGAACUCCUCCUGACGUCUGGGAUCUCAUCCGGGACUCCGAACAACAUUCGGUAACCGCGUACAUACUUUCCCUAUAACCCUAGCGUCAUCGAACCUUAAGUGUGUAGACCCUACGGGCUCGGGAAUAAUGCAGACAUGACCGAGACAUCUCUCUGGUCAAUAACCAACAGCGGGAUCUGGAUACCCAUGUUGGCUCCCACAUGUUCCACGAUGAUCUCAUCGGAUGAACCACGAUGUCAAGGAUUCAAUCAAUCCCGUAUACAAUUCCCUUUAUCUACCGGUAUAGUACCUGCCCGAGAUUCGAUCAUCGGUAUCCCGAUACCUUGUUCAAUCUUGUUAUCGGCAAGUCUCUUUACUCGUUCCGUAACACAUCAUCCCGUGAUCAACUCCUUGGUCACAUUGUGCACAUUAUGAUGAUGUCCUAUCAAGUGGCCCAGAGAUACCUCUUCGUUUACACGGAGUGACAAAUCCCAGUCUCGAUUCGUGCCAACCCAACAGACACUUUUGGAGAUACCCGUAAUGCACCUUUAUAGCCACCUAGUUACGUUGUGGCGUUUGGUACACCUAAAGCAUUCCUACGGUAUCCGGGAGUUGCACAAUCUCAUGGUCUAAGGAAAUCAUACUUGACAUUAGAAAAGCUUUAGCAGACGAACUAUACGAUCUUGUGCUAGGCUUAGGAUUGGGUCUUGUCCAUCACAUCAUUCUCCUAAUGAUGUGAUCCCAUUAUCAAUGACAUCUAAUGUCCAUGGCCAGGAAACCAUGUCCAUCUAUUGAUCAACGAGCUAGUCAACUAGAGGCUUACUAGGGACAUGUUGUGGUCUAUGUAUUCACACAUGUAUUAUGGUUUCCGGUUAAUACAAUUAUAGCUUGAACAAUAGACAAUUAUCAUGAACAACAAUAAUCAUUUUAUUAUUGCCUCUAGGGAAUAUUUCCAACAGAAAGAUAUUGAUCAGCUGUGCUGCGACAAGAAGCGGAAGGACUACGGAAGUCCCCGGAGCAUUCAGAUGCAUACUUUCUAGUGCAACAGCAAGCGUUGGAGGAUUUUAGCGCCAAACAGGACAAAGUUAAUCAGCUUGCUAAGCUUAUUGCCAGCAUGGUGGAUACCCAGGAUAACGUUUCUUGAUCUCUUCUGAAGUUGUUUCAGUUAUGCUCUUGUUUUGCUGCCACGUUUAUUUGCACUGGUGGCCAAUUUUGACGGCCAGUGUAUAUGAUAUGCUGCUUUGUUCCCUAUAUUUGCACUGGUGGCGAACUUUGAUGCCUAGUGGAUGUAAUAUGUGUAAUAGCCGUGAUAGCCUAGCGUUAGUUGCUUGCUUAUUUAUUUCCUUGUUGUCUUGUUUAUUUGUUUGCUUGUAGUCAUUGCAGUUCUUUUUCCGCGGUUAACUAGUGGCUGCAAUAACCUAUUUUUUAAAACUAGGCCACAAUAACCAUGGGCUAAUAUUUACUGUAGUGACACUGGGCCUAAUACGGGUCGUAGAAACAGUGGGCCUUCUACGGGCCGUAGAAACAGUAGGCCUUCUACGGACCGUAGAAACAAUGGGCCUUCUACGGGCCGUAUCAUCAAUGGGACUUAUAUGGGCCGUAUGAUCGAUUAGCCAAACAUGGGCCAAUAACAGGCCGCAUUAUGGCCGUAAACGGGCUAGACUUGGAAUCGUCCGUCAUUGGGCCGACCGUAAUGGGCCAUCGUUAAUAGGCCGUAUUUGAUGACGCUAUGAAAACAGCCCAACGUAUUAACGGACCACAAACGGGCCGACUGUAACCACGGGCUGAAUUUGUCCCACAAGCAGAAAAUGACAGUAACGGGCCGUAAGUAAACGAAUGCUGGAAAUGAGCCCAAGAAUAAAUCGGCUCUGAGAAGGCCGAAAGAUAACAUGGGCUGGAAACGGCCCAACGGAAUAACAGGCCGUUAAUGGGUAUAAAGUGAUACACUGUUCAUUACGGGCCAGUUUCACCACGGGCCGUUAAUGGUUGUAAAGUGAUACACUGUUCAUUAUGGGCCAGUUUCACCACGGGCUGUUAAUAGGCCAAGAGUUACAUAGGGCCUCAUAUGGGCCGAAAGACAUCAUGGGCCAUACAUGGGCCAGAAGUGAAAACGGGCUGGAAUCAUAUUGGAUGGCCCAGAUGACGCUACUGGGCCUAAUUCAGAUAGGACGUAACGGGCCUUGGGUUAGCCGGCUGUAAAUGGGCUAUAUGCGAACAGGCCGUUAACAUGCUUUCCAUGGGCCGGCCCGCCACCUUUUGACCAAGUCAAGCGGGCCGGCCUUUUCACAGGAAUGGGCCUCUGUUGGGCCGUGCCAUGUGUCGACGUAUCAUAGGCGCCUUCCAUCCAAUGAGUGGUUGACAUCUGUCCCAACGAUGAGCCGACACGUGUUUCCUCCAGCCAAUGAUGAUUUUACAUGUGGAAAAUCCCCAUUGGUCGGGGCUGUUAAUGGGUUAUCGGAUCCAAAACUCGACCCGAUAGCUUAACGGCGUUCCGUUACGGUGGAUGCCACGUGUUGGUCACCCUUGACAAAAUUACUUCUGUGACGCGCGGUUUAUCGUCAUGGAAGUGGACACUUCCAUGAUGAUAAUUUUGGUAAUGUCAUGGAACACUUCUACGACAGCACAGGUAUGACUAUCUUGAUUCUGUCAUAAAUUUGUCAUGGAUGUACAUGCAUGACAAAAAAAGCGACCUACUGUGACAAACACGUAUCAUCACGGAAGUGUAUUUUUUUGUAGUGAUAAGCACGAGGUGCUCGGGCGCCUCGAGCACACGAUCGAGCAGGGAGGCACUGCGGCUGGCUGAUUUGGCACUACGGCAGGGUGGGGUUGGAUUGGUGGGUGGCUGCGAGAUGUGGUUGGAUCGGGGUGGAUCGAGGCGAGAGAGGUGGUUGGCCCGAUGGAUAACAAGGAAGGAGGCUGGUUGGGUGGCUCGAUCGAGAGGAUCAAGCAAGAUCCCAAGGAACCAUGAAGAGUGGGUGGCGGCGGCGGGGAGGAUUUGAUGGAUGGAUGGGACAGGGCUAGGGUUAGACUAUAUAUAUACCAGAUGAAAUUAGGUUAGGGGCUAACUCGUCCCUCCGAUCAGAAUCGGGCGGUCGAGAAAAAUAUACUAGGAAGUCCAAAUAAGAAAACGAUGAUGUUUUGUAGAUGUUUGGGGAUGAUCCGGAUCCAACGGUGACGACUGUCCGGGUCGGGUUCGGGUAAGUUUCGGACACAGGCGAGGGGUCGAUGCAAAGAGGGGUUUUCGGACCGUGCGAUCACAUCGGACGGCUCCGGACGCGAAGAGGGGUAGGCAUGGGCCUAGGUGGACUGUGGAGAGCGGGUUGGCCUGAGAGAAGAGGGGAGAGAUGCAGCCCGACACUGUUUCCGGAGACCAAAAACGUCCGACGAAAAGACCGGCUAUACUGCCGCUAUAGUUAUCCGCUGGGGCAUCAAACAGACUCCAAAUGCGAUGAAACUUGACAGGCGGUCUAUCUACACUAUAAUAAGACCACACGCCAACUUUCACCCCAUUCUAAGAACAUUUUCCGGCCACUUAUAAAAUAAAAUAUCGGACAUGCCACGGGAGCGUGCAAGUGUGGUUGAGCUCAGAACGGACAACAGAGAGAACGAGGAGACCGGGACGGAUGCAAGUUUUGAAAACAUGAUGAUGCAAUGCACAUGAUGACAUGAUGAAAUGCAACACGCAAGCAAAAGACAAGGCAACAAUAGCGAAAAACUGGAAGACACCUGGCGCAUCGGACUCGGGGCGUCAUAGUAAGCUUGCUAAUGUGUUGUGUUCUACUCCGAGUUGGUUAGUUCAAAUUUCAAAUUUGAACUAAAACCAUGACAAAAAUUAUGAAGCGAUGGAGUACUUUAUUAAGUUAGACGAUAUGAUCCCGCACCUUGCUGUAGAAAUGGUAUAUAGUUUUUAAAUGUUAUGUAGAAUACAAAUUCAAUCCUUAUAAUUUGAACUAUGUCAUAAAUUUCUAUGUAAGGGAAAAAAAAUCUUAAUAUGGAAAAUUAUGCACGUCACCCUCUAAUGCAAUGCAAUUUAAACCCAACUUAGGAUGCCUCCAUGGCGAUGCACGGAUACUAGUGGAUCAAGCUAGUAAAUUUAAUGGCUACAACAAUAUUGACGAUGUGGAAGCACACAUGUCAAAAUAAUUAGAAGUAGUGGAGAUAACUCACUUAGAUAUAUAUGAUUCUAACUCAAUAUUAUACUACUAAACUUAUCCGGGAGUCUUGCUAAAGAACUCAUCUGACAAAACUCAGUUUGUCAAUUUCAUCAAUCUCAACCUUUCUUUAGUGCCGCAUAAGUAUUGACUUUUUAAAUAGAUACAAAUACUGGUCAUGAAGGCUUCACCCUUAUCAAGUGAGGUGCAUAGGAGAAGUCCGUUGAGCAAGAAACCGGCAAUCCAAUAACAUCAAAGUGAUACGUAUGGUGUUUUAAAAAUUAGGCUUGAUUUGUAGAUAUGAAUACAAUGUUUUUUGCCGAUAACAUCAUAUACAUGGGUUGAGCUAGAGAGAUUGGGUCAGUUCUACUCUUUUUCUU
rnacentral:lncRNA from 1 species